UCCUCGCUGUUCUCUUACUGUGUCUAGUUAUAGGGCAGAUACAAGUGGAAGCUAAGAGCUGCUGCCCAUCCACCACUGCAAGAAAUGUCUACAAUACCUGCCGUUUCACGGGUACAUCCCGUCCAACGUGUGCAAAACUGUCAGGCUGCAAAAUUAUCAGCGGGAACAAAUGCAAGCCCCCUAACGACCACCUCACCCUUGACCCGGACACUGGUAAAUAAUAAAUUUAUCUCACUUGAUUUCUUCGUGAUUUGAGUCGUUAAUGUAUUUUCCAUCUGAUGAAACGUAUUGGUUUUGCAUUGAAGAGGAAGUUAAUGUGCUUAACUUCUGCAAGUUGGGGUGUGCGUCGUCUGUGUGCAACAACAUCAACGCUGGUAAGCAACUUUUGCUCAGACAGAGAAAACAAUAAUCAUUAAUUAGCGGCAGCUAGAAUCCUAUAAUCUAAUAUAUAUAUAUAUAUAUAAUUUUAUCAGCUCUGGGAAAUGAAGAGGCGAACGAUGCCGUUGAGAGUUGCGACCAAGCCUGCUCUAGCUUCUGCAGCGUGCAUGUUGGCAGCGCCACCGUGGUUGCUUAAGCAAAUGCAUCCAACUAGAUCGUCCUUGUGCUGAAUAAUUGGAUAUCGUAUCCACUUAAAGCUGCCUUGUGUAGUACGUCUUUGUGUCUCUCUUUAUAUUCCAAUAAGGUCGGUGAUCUUGAUGCCACACACUCAGAUGUGUGUUCAUCUCCAGAUACUACUCCAUGCUACCUGCCCUUUGUGUUUUGUUCAAUAACUGGGUAUCAUAUCCCAGCCAGUAUGCCGUCUGUUUUGUGUUUGUUUCCUUCUAGUUCCAAAGGGGUCAUCAUGAUGUUACCUUCUUUCAAUAUGGUGCUUUGCAUGACUACUGUUGUAUGGUACCAUCUUGUGGCCAAUAAGUACAUCUUAUCCUAUGACCUUUGCUAUGACCCUUUGCAAAUAAGUAGAAGAUUGUUAUAAGCGUCAAUACUCCGUAUAAAUUGAUCGCUGCUGUGAGUUCCCUUUCAGCUUAUCGUAGGCAUACAUUAUUGCUAGCACGGUAAAGCCAACCAACACGAAUGAUGAAGUAAACGUAGCGGUACUUCUGUAUACCAACACCCUUACUUAAAUGUACCGGUGUCAUUCCCUACUGGCACAUAUAUUCUUAUAUGCUAGCCAGCUUGUAAAAUUAACCAAUUAAAAUAAUUAUUUCAAGAUAGAAAUAACUUAUCGGUUUCUGGAAGCAUGUGUAAUGUGAAUUCAAGGACUCGACGGAAGUUGAAUCACUUCAUCUAUAUUGCUUUCAGUAUUUUGGGUAACUAAAUUUAACAUUUGCACAUACAAAUGUUAAAGUACAAAUGUUAAAUCUAGUUACCCAAGCAGAAUAUGAAGAUAGUUUAUAGUAUAUAUAUACUAUAUAAAUCUAGUUAACAUUUAGUCUAAAUGUUAAAUCUAGUUACCUAAAAUCCUGAAAGCAAAAUGUAUAAAUAUAUAUCUUUUAAGGCAGUAUAAGCUUCGAUUCCUAUUGCUGCUCUGUUAAAUCUCAUCUUUCGUUGUGGCCCAACACUCUAGUAUGCAUGUUGCACCAAGCUUCUUUGAGCCGCUCUGCCCUCUGAUUUUGCUGCGUAGGGGAAUCUUUAUCAGGUUGGGCUACUUCCAGUUGUGCGAUGUAAAGAUUCGUAUUUUCUAGAAGGUAGACAAAAAACUCGCGUUCUCUUAAGGCAACAACCGGAAGAUUCUGCAGCGCACAGGGCAUACCAUUAUUGUAGAAACGACCUUUAGUACCGAUCUCCAACCCCCUUUAAAACUGGUUUUGCAACCGGUACCGUUAUGUCGGUCCUUUAGUACCAGAUCAAAUAAGUACCGGUUGGUAACCAGUAUCAACUUGUUUUGCGGCCAAAAAAAUAAAGAAAAAAACAGUCAGAAGGCUCGCGCACACGCGCAUCACAUGAAAUAUGCGUGUGCGGGGUCCAUGGGAUUCGAACCCAUGAAAUCAAGCUGCGCGCGACCCUUCGUUACCAUCUCACCUACAUAGCGCAUAUGCUUUCCUGAAGUAACCCGUGGAGGAGGCUUUAGUACCGGGUCAUAACACCACCCGGUACUAAAAAUGACUCUUCAGUACCGGGUCAUAACACCACCCGAUACUAGUAUCGGAUGGUGUAAUGACCCGAUACUAAAAGGCCUCUAGGGACCCUCAAAUUUGAACCCGGUACUAAUGCUAAUAUUAGUAGCGGGUCAAAGUGCAGCCAGAACUAAAGCAUGGGAUGAAAGGUCAUAUUUCUAGUAGUGUAUAGUUGUUGUGAAGGACUGACUUGGCUGUCCUCUCUCUUCUCCAUCCCCUUGGUCUUACGCCGCCGCUCGCACGCGAGCCGGUGCCCAACCAGAGGAGUGAGAGCUAGGGGCAGGUUGGGAGGUGGGGAUAGUGACUGGUGGCCAGGGUGAUGGUUGAUCCUGGUGGGGUUAGGGUUUUAGGGUUUUCGAGCUUCCUAUGGUCGGCGAACCUAGAGGAGGAGCUCAACAUCAGCUGCAACCCGCGAUGGUGGUGGUUUGGCCGGCGCCCGAGGCGAGGCAGCGCGGGAGUGCUGCCGGUGGGUUGGUGUUGGCACUCAUUAUUGACAACUAUUUUGUUCAUAAAAUAACACUCAAACUUGCUGCUGCUGCUGCUGCUGCCAUCGCCACCCUAGCCAUAAUAUAAAGGCAAAAUUUGCUAAAGGACAUGCAAAAUGAUGCUAGUUUGCUGGCGGGCAUCGUUGACCUUGUAAUAUGCUACAAGACACUCUAGUUGUGUAUCAAUUUGCUGAAAGACAUUGCUAUGACUAAAAUAAUGUUUCUGGACUGAGUUGGAGAGAGAGAUGGAGUGAAAUGUCUGUUUUGCCCAUGACCCCACUGGUCAGAUCCUUCUUCUUCCACCCUCCUUUGUUCUUUCUUCAACCAUUACCCAGCUCCAGCGUGUUGCAGAUCUACGAGGGUGGCGGCCUGGGGCGAGGGGCAUCGCUCGCCCUUGGAGGAGCGCUGCGAGCGACGGCGCGGGGGCGGCAACAGCGCGUCAGAACCUGACUGUUCGUUAGCUCCUCUCGCUGCUGGGGAAGGAGGGGGAUGGGCCAUGGACGGGGUUCCCUUGAAAACCUCAGCGUCGAGCUCGGGCGGCUACGCGCAGGCAGCACUAGGCUGCUUCACGGGGAGGGGGCGCGGCCAAUCAUUGGCACCCCACUGGUCCAAUGCUGAUGAAGAUGGUGCCAGCGUCGUGUGAGGACAUCUCAUCUCCUCGAGUUCCAUGGCCAGCACAGGUGAGCUGCCGCUACCACAAAACAGAGGUUUCGUGAGAGUCAAAAAACCUUAUGAAAAUAGCUAAAACCAUCAUGAAAAUAAUCCGUGACAUGACACUCUCACGAAAAUCCUCUCACAAAUAUGGUGCCAUGAAAAUACCAUUUUCAUGAGAGUGAACUGUCAUGAUUUUAUUUCGUGAGAGUAUUUCCUAUCAAUGACCUCCACGAAAUACUUUGUGCCACCAGGUCUUCAAGAUCAUUUUCAUGAGAGCUGAACAUCAGGAAAAGUCCGCCACAAAUGUUUUUCUUGGAGCCCCUAACUCUCAUGAAAAUCAUGCGGGCCGCCACGAAAAACAGCAUGACCAAAUGACAAAUUUCAUUUUCAUGUGUUCAUACCGCCAUGAAAAUGGUCAUUUUCAUGAGAGUUGAUGAAACAAAAAAUAGUGCCAUUUUCAUGAGAGUUCAAGCAACCAGGAAAAGACACUAAUAAACAUCCAGAUCCCAUCCAGCACACAUCCAUGCACAUAUAUAACCCACAUAUUGCUCCAGCACACAUCCAUGCAUAUACAAGAUCCAAAUGUUAAUAUAGUAGACAUCCAUGCCUGAACUAGUCUGCCACACAAGUCAUUGAUGCUACAAAUCCUACAAUCGCAGCAUGUGCAUACAAGUCACAGAAUGAGACAAUGUACCCAAAACUAAAAGGUUAGCAUCAACUGUGCUUCAACCAAAGUUGUCAUCCCAACUCUCCUCUUCAUCCAUGCCAUUCUUGUCGUGGCCGUCACUGUCAGUCCCCAUGGCAUUGCCAAUGCUGUGCAUGUCUUGGUAGGAACCUACAUGUGAUGAACUAGUAACCUGCAAAAAGAGCUCAAAGGAUCUUGUUCUCAUAUUGUAGCUGUGAAAUUCUUACAAGUAGUGUUGCAAUCAGUUCACUUUGAACCAAAAGAGCUCAAAGGAUCUUGUCCUAAAAGUUCCUCAUAAAGCUUAUGGGUUUGCUGGUGGAACUGGAAGGGCUUGAUGCAGCAGAUGCCAUUCUGCAAUAGAGAAAAAUUUAGAGAGCAGUACUAGUUAAAAUUGGAUGCAGAAGAUACACAUGAAACUAGUAUUUAUACAAGUCUAUACAAUUAAAAUCUAAGGAGACUUAUCAUCGUUUUCAUGUGUUGUGAAUUAAAAUAAUGAAGGAUACACUGUUAGGUGAAAAUUCAAGAAACAAAAUUUUGCAUAGAGAUAAAGGUCCAACAUUAUUACAAGUUAAGGUAGUUUUAAAUAUCCUUGUAAUCUUCCUUUGGUUUCCUCAACGAUUCGAAGACAAUAACCUUGCUUCUAUCAAUGAUAAUUAUAAGGAGAAUCCAGUGGAAACUGUGUAUUCGUAUUAGAACUACCUAAGGUUAAUUAGGUUAGGAAAGGAAAUUGAAAAUAGAUGGUACCCACACUUACUUAAAGUUGUCGGGCAAUAGUAUGUAAUGCUUGUAAUUCCGUUGCUCCAAGAAUUUGUAUAUGUGGUCCAAUGUAGACUUUGGUUGAUCCCGUAUCUGCUGUUGGUUAAAUAAGUGUUUCUAGCCAUUUCUAGCCAUUAGAACCGGGACUAAAGGGGGCUCUUUAGUACGGGUUGAUAUUACUAACCGGGAUUAAAGAGCCCCCAUUAGAGUUGGUUUUUGGAUGCGGAACUAACAACUCCUUUAGUCCUGAGUACGAAAACAACUGACAUAUUUGUUGCUGGAUGGAAGGUCCUUUCUCUACCGUGAAUAUUGCCAGAAAGAAUUGAAAGAGACUGCUUGCUAAAAAUAUGUCAUAGAUGUAGACCAAGCUACCAAGGAGGUAGACCAAACAUGAUACACACCAUGCGUACCUUGCUGUGCAGACUAUGCAUUGACAAGAUACCCGACCACAUGUUGGCCUCGGUCACAUCAAAAGAAUCAUGUAGGCCACCAAUAAACUACUUGAAGCGGCAUUCCGUAUCGUAUAUGCAUUGCCGGUUCAUCUGCAUUACAUUACAUAAAGCACUAUUAACUAUUUGAAUAAAAUGAACCAAUUUAAAAGUAAUGUGUUGUACUCUACUAUAGAAAGCCCUAUCACUGCCGGAUCCAAAAACAUCAUUGUUAAUGGUGGUUAAGUACCAAAUAUGACGGUCAAUAUUCUCAAGAAUAAUGGAGAAUUAGCAUUUCUUAGACACAUAUUUGGUUUUGAACAAUGUAGUUCCACAUGUCUUUGGAGAUUAUUUGGGUGUGGGUGAAAUAAUACAAAAAUAAGGAGAAAACACACUCCCAUGGCGAAGAAACACAACUCCAACCAAUGAGAGAUAGCCACAGGGGCAGCACACGGAUCCAUGGGCCCACUAACCGCAUCAAACCAUCUUACCAAGGCAGGUAGCACCCACAACCGUCAUUAGGACCCACCUGGAAGUCUACCAAGAAGAAGGUUGCGAGUGGGGCCAGGAGGGGUUCGGUUGAAUCAUCUCUAGCUAGCUCCCCUCAUCCCCAGCUGGUGGGUGGUGGUGGUUGAUGGUGUCCCUACAUCAGUUAGAGGAGAUUCCCCCAAAUAUUCCUCCUGUAAACCACCUCUAUGGACCUAUACAUAGAGGGGUGUGCUCUCCAUUCCAACACACACCACAAGUUGAAUCACUCUCUCCCUCUUUAGUUUCCAAGUUUAUGGAGUUAGGCUAGAGUAGCUCUGCUCAAGGUUCCAAGUCCACUUGGAGUUAAGCAUAUGUCUCUUGUAUCGUUAUUUCCUAAAUUGACUUUAUGCUUAGUUCUUAUAUGCAUGAGUUAGUCUAAUACCCUUGCUAUAUUGAUAUGCUCGGCUUAUAUGCUCGUAUGCUAGUCAUAUACCCUUGCUGUCGUAGUAUAGGCUUAUAUGCUCUCAUGUGUGCCUGUAGACCUUGCUAUAGUAUAUACUUGUUGUGCAUACAUACCAUGUAUAGGCUAGUCGAUCUAUACCAUGGCAUUGGUUCAAUAGCCAUGUUUUUGGUGGCUCCAACCCUAGUCACAAUAGCUCGGGACAGCUGGAGUGUUGUUAAAAAUGCAAGAGUGGUGCUUGGGUUGUUUAGCAUCGUUGGAUAUGGGUUUGCCCCACGGGUUUCUAACGGUAGGCGGCAGCUAGUGACAUCCCUGUCCGUCCUUCGUAAUCCCCCCACAUUCAGGUACGCCAUAAAUGUUCGUAAAUUAGCAGUAACUACGCCGGUACACCUGUAGGGUAUUGUCUCCCUGUAGUACCUUGGUGCAUAGAACUAAGUCCUAUACACUGUGUGUGUAUGUUUACGCUGAUAUGAUCUGUGCAGUAUAUAGGAUGUAUAUAUGAACCUAGAGCUAACUCCUAGUCCGUUCUCCAUAGCUUAGUUAUCUUGAGAUGAUUCUUCUGUAUGUGUAACACUACCCAUCUUAUCAUUAUCCUUGAUCCUGUCUUGUGUAAUAUAUCUACUCAUCCUAUGAUAUACUCAUAUGCAUAGUAAACUAUUUUGACCUACCCGCCUUCCUUUGGGAAAUAUGAUACCUUGGAAUAAUCCUAGGUGAAAUCCUACAACGGUAUAUCCAUGUAAAUGCGGAUUUAUUCAUGACCAUUAAAUAUACCAACAAUCAUCACUGUGAGUUUUGGGCGUCGUUAGUGAAGGGUUGGUAGUGAUGGGCAUCCCCUUCACCAAUGGACCUGGAACCGGCGGUGAUGGCUAUUAUAAAAAAGGGGACACCACCCAGCGUACCCCACGACCCGGCCGGCCGCACCUCCCAUCAUCCCCGCCAGCCGCCCUUCCUUUUCGCCGGCCGAGCAUGGUCCCGGCCUUUGUCCCUACCACCUCGCCUCCACCGCGACCCCCCGCCGAUGCCCUCGUGCCUGGCCCCCCUCAUCUUGCCGGCCACCCUCCCGAUGCGUCCACUGGGGCCCUCGCACCACCAACCGCCCUUGCUUAGAGAGGGAGAGAGAGGAGGGAGGUGAGGCCACGCACCUCGUCCUACACCGCCGCUGUUUCUCCUCGGCCCACCGCGCCUCACCCCACACCACAGCCGCGCCUUGCCAUCUUACCGGCUGUGACGCCUCAUCUCACCGGCCACCGUUCCUCACCCCCACUUCGGUCGUCGCCGCUCCUUGCCCUACCGCUGCUCUUUGCCGCUGCGAAUGAGCGCCGAGUGGAGGAGGAGGGAUGGGGCAGGAGGAGGGCAAGAUCCGGGAGGAAGGGAGAGAUCUCGGGAGGUGGAGAUGGAAGGAUAUGGCGGAAGGGAGAGAUCCAGAGGGAGAGAGCAGGGGAGAGAGGGGGGCGUGUGGGGAGAGAGCGCGUGUGGGGUGGGGCCGGGCUGGUGGGAUGGAAGGGAGAGGGGCUAGACGGGCGCAGUGCAUUCAACUGGAUGAAGUAAAUAUUUUGGAUUCGAGACCCCAGCUUUAUUAUCACCGCUGGUCCGUAGUACCAUCCGGUGCCUGCUCGUAAUUUAAUUUGAAUCUGCGGUGAUGUUUUAUUAUCACCAUCGGAUCAUAUAAAAAUCCGGCGGUUAAAAAUCCGCUGGUUUCGAUGAAAACCGACGGUGAUAGGAUGACUGUGAUAGUCUCUUCUCUAGUAGUGGUAUAUUAGUACCGGCUGCCGGAUGGUGUUGCCGACCAGUACUUCUCCGGGGGCGAUUCAGUACUGCUGUUAGCAAAGCUUGUUCUCUAUGAAUUUGGGGAUGGAAAGCUAGUUCUCUAGUUGUGAUUUGUUACAUAUAUAUCUAUGAUAGUCUAGAAAUUGCAUGUCCUUCGUUGACAUAGUUGAAGCUGCUUCAAGAAUUUACUUCGUGCAGUCGUGCAGCAUAUUGGAUUAUCACCUAGACAGGAUACAUAGGUGAAGCAUUGGAUGUGAUUGUGGCCGAUAAUUAUGCAGGACGCUGUUGCAAUCAACCACCAAGAAGUCUGGAGUGAUGGGGUUGCCUCAUCAAUAAUUUUUAUAUAUGGCUGCAGUAUUAUUAAGCCCACGUCAAUAAUUUUUUGUCCGCACCAUAUAUCGAUGGGGUUGCCUCAUCAAUAAUUCGCGCAACCAGACAAGCUGCAGACUCAAUAUGGUACGAAGCUAGUUGCUCAGCCCACAUGCUCUGAUAUAACAUUGACAUCUGCUGAUCUACAGUAUAUAUGACCAGAAAUAUUGUGCCCACCUCAAUAACUUUCUGAAGUAUCGUGGGGAAGAACCUACGCGUACUAUGCCUCGGAACUAACUGACAUAUCGGCCCAGGCGGUCUAGGCCGAUUGGACUGGCUCUUCCUUGUGGCUUCUCACAUCCCCUUCGUCCCCAAGUAAUUUCAGGUGUUCUGUAGUUUUCUUUUCACUUGCAUCUGAGCCUCCUAUAUCAAUAGCUUCGGGAUAAGAAUGCCUCUUGAUAACCUUCCAAAUCCUCGCUUGAUUCACAUUGAUUCCGAAAUCAUCUUGCCAUAUCUUCAGAGACUUAGGUCCUAAGGCAUCAUGGAGGAUUGCUCGCCAAGAAUGAGCACCAUUGGGCUCCUGAGGACCCUAGGCCGAUCAGCCCGGGCUCUAUAGGUCGAUUGGCCCAGGCCCUCUCUGGGCCUGUUGGCCUUCAUCUUUCUUUGAGUCGACGCUUAUUCAGGGCUUUGUCCAAUUAUAGUCCAUUAUAGUCUAAUUUCCUAAAAAACAGAAUGUCCUCCAAAAUACAAUGCAUAUGUGAAAACAACCCAAUUAUUAGGUAUGAUCAAUAGUUUAGGUAUUAAAUUAAUAUUAUUAUUUAAGAUAAACAGGGGUAAAGGGUGUCAUUAAUAACAAGCGCCAACAAGCGUCCUAGCUGUUCAAUAAAUUUUUUCUAGUACCGAUUGGUAACACUAACCGGUGCUAAUAUGUACCCUUUAUUACCGGUUAUUUUACCAGGUACUAAAGGAGACAAGAGCAUCCUAACAUAAGGUUAAUAUCAUCCAUUUCAUGAGUAAAAUACUAUGAUUCAAAAAUAAUUCAAAUCCCUUAAGACAAUACCUAUCAAAUGAGUAAAUUGUAAAUAGAGUAAUCUUGAUCAAACAAUGUCCUAAUGAAACGGAACACUUCUGGUUCGUGUAGAGCACAAUAUAGAAAACAGUAGGGUAGCUGUAUGAUUGACACGUGGUCCAUUAAUUAUUGAGCCAACACUAUGGACAUGUCUUCAUGAGUAGUGUACUAGUCAUAAUACAUGGUAUGCAGUAGGUGGAGGUAUUGACUUAGCCAUGCUAUGAGCACUUAGUUACAACAAACACUUUGCCAUUAUCGAGCAUCCCAAAUCACUACAAAAUCCAUAGUUUACCAUAUACUACAAAAUCUGAGUUAAAAUAAGAGCAUACACGGAAGAGUCCGAAUGCACGGCACAUUGAAUUACUAGACAAAAUUUAUGGGACAAGGUUUUGGGUAACCGCAUGAAAAAUAUUGGAUUUUACUGAACACUUAGUUACAAUUACCAUGCCCGUGAGCACUUAGUCACCACAAACAUUUAACCACUUUAGAUCAUCCUGAAUCCCUAUAAAUUCUAUACCUUACACCGUACCAUGAAAACGACAAGAACAGAGACAGAUGCGGUGAAAAUCUCCAGAGCAAGCCUGAAAUUAAAAUAAGAGGAGGCAGUCACUAUCGACAGGACACGGAGAUUGCUAGCCAUGACAGAGGAAGACAUGAUAUGAUAUUCACCUCUGAAAUGCAGCGUAGACUAAAUGAAGCACAAUUGCAAGUGAGUGUGGCAGAUAAUGGACCAUCGAGACCAUCGAAUGGUAUGAAGCAUGAUUAUCACCUAGACAUGAUAUCCUAGACAGGACGGUGAAUUGUAAAAAGAGUAAUCUUGAUCAAAGAAUGUCCUAAUGAAACGGAACAUUUUUGGUACGUGUAGAGCAAAAUAUAGAAAACAGUAGAGUAGUUGUACGAUUGAAACUGCAUCCAUCGACGUGGUGCAUGAAUUGUUGAGCCAACACUGUGGACAUGUCUUCAUGAACACCAUCUAGUGAGGACAGCAUGCAGAAAAAUAUAAAAACAUGUCAUAGGGAGGCAGACCAAUCUUGCGAGGUAGACGAAACGUGAUACACGAUCUGCCUACCUUGUCGUGUGGAUACCCCAAGUGAAGAUGUCAUAGAGGUGCAGACCAAGCUAGCAAGGAGGUAGAUGAAACGUGAUACACGGCCUGCCUACCUUGCCGUGGAUAUUAGUCCUGAUAUCAUUCUAUUGUUCAAGGAAUAACACUCAAUGCUGCUGCUGCUGCUGACCUGGCUCCAUAAAGUUAUAUUCCUCUAGCCGCUUGCACUAACUUUAUCUGAAGUAUUAUUCUCUCUGCACUGUAUAUAUGGUUACGGAGUUUGCUGGAGUAUCCGGGGGGAAGAACCUACAUAAUAUGUCUUGGAACUAACUGACAUUGAUUCACAGACAAGGUGCUGUUGUUGACAUGGUACAGUAAAUAAUAUAGUUUACCAUAUACCGUAUACCAUUAUAUGUUAGCUAAAAUAAGAGCAUAACAUGUCGCAGGAGUCCAAAAGCACCGGUUGAGGACCAGGUACAUUAAAUUACUAGAAAACAAAAGGGGACAAGGUUUAGGUAGCCACAUGAAAAACAUUUGAAUUUACUGUACCAUGAACACUUAGUUACCAUGCCGGGAGCACCUAGUUAACACUAACAUUUAGCCACUUUAGAUCAUCCCGAAACACCAAUGACCCUCAAUAGCGACAAAUUUUGGUUUAAAUGCCGUCACCAAUGAUCCUCAAUAGUGACGUGUUUAGGUUUAAAUCCCAUCACUAAUAACCCUUGGUAGUGACGUGUUUUGGUUUAAAUCUCAUCACCACUGAUCCUCACUAGUGACGUGUUUUUAGCAACACACGUUAUGAAUGACUUGUCAUUGGUGACAUGUUAAACGCGUUAUCUCAAUGGCAAAUCAAUGGUGACGUGUUUAAAAAAACAUGUCACUGUGAGAGUUAUUGGUGAAGGGUAAUUAAAAUGCAUCACUAAUUUUGUAGCAUUAGUUAUGAUAUAAUUUUGUAACGCAAAAAUCUACCAUAGUAAUGAGGUUUAGAGCCAUCACUAAUGUGGGUUUCUUAUCGUAGUGAUGCAAGCUCUACAAGGUGCUGUUGUUGCCAUUUUAAAGCAUCCCAAAUGACUACAAGAGUCCGGUUGAGGACUAAACAAAUUGAAUUACUAGAACCAAAUGUAUGUCCAGAACAAAGAAAGGGGUCAAGGUUUGGGUAACCGCAUUAAAAACAUUGAAUUUUACUGUACCAUGAACACUUAGUUACCAUUACCAUGCCUUGAGCACCUAGUUACCACAAACAUUAAUUUAGCCACUUUAGAGGUUCCACAAUCACUAUAAAUAAUAUACCAACACCGUACCAUGAAAACAUCAAGAAGAGAGACGGGUACAUGGACCACCAUCAAGUGAGUAGUGACAGCACGCACAAGAAUACCCGGAACCUUUUAGCUUGUCUGUAGUGAUCUGUUUUCUUCGCCACAAAUAAUGAAAGAGGCUGACCAAGCUAGCAACGAGGUAGAGCAAACGUGAUACACGUAGGUUUCAUUCAAGACAUCCAUGUAAGAUUCAUUCAAAACAUUCAUGGAAAUUUCUUGUAAGUUUUCAUGUAAAUUUCAUUCAAGACAUUUGUUAGAGGUGUUGUAUAUACACUUAACGUACAUAUAUCUAUGAUUUCAUGGUUGUUAGUGAUGGCAGAUGAGGAGCAUGCAAGGUGUUUAAUGGAGCAGAUUAUUGCUAGUGGUAGUGGCUCCAACCUGCCCGUAACGUACACCGACGAAGAGGGCAGCCAGGCGGACAUGUUCCUCAACAUGUCCGGUGAUGGCAAUGAAGAGCCCGAGCAAAACCUUGCCGUGACGGAAGGUUCCAUCGAGGUAUAUAUCAUUUCCAUUAUUUUACCCCAUCUAUAAUUUCAUAUUCAUUAUUACUAUGUGCUAAUUAAUGAAUCUUGAACCGUUAGUCCUCUAGAUCAACGAACCGAAAUAAGCCCCGAGGUCUUACAAAGAUAAUGCAGGGAAGGCUUCACAUCAUGGAAGUCACAGAAGAGGGCACAUCGGUUGCUCCCGAACAUGUGGCAAGAAAGUACGUGAGUCAAACCGGGGCAAUCGUAAGGGACAACAUGCCCAUCAGCAUCAGGGAAUGAAAGAGCAAUAGAAAUGAUCUAUACGCACCCCCGGAUACACAAAAGGAUAUGUUGUGGGCAAAUAUCAAGAAACACUUCACAUUUCCCAAAGGAUAUGUUGAAAAAUAUGUGAAAGCGUGGAUGUUGAAGAAGAUGGCCACCCAAUUCCAGACAUUCAAGAAGAUGUUGGAUGCCAACUUCAUCAAGAAGGGUCGAACUCCGGGUUUCAAUGAGUGGCCAAAGUUAAGGGACCACUGGGAGUCGUUUGUCGAAUACAAGACGAGCGAAGGUGGUGCGAGUAAGGUUCACAUCAAUGUUGCCAAUGCUAGCAAGGAGUACCAUCAUCAUCUAGGGCGACGUGGUUACAGCUCUGCAAUUCCCAGAUGGCGCAAGAUGGAACAAGACCUGAUCGAUCGGGGUAUCGUACCAGCAACUCUUGACUGGAUCGAUUGAAAAAUUGGUAUUAUGCUCAUGAAGGCAAUCUGAGCCAAGAGGAUCCGACAUUGGUCUUCAAUAAAACAAUACGUCAGAAGGUCGGAAGGCUUAUUAGGAACAUUGAAGAUGCUAAAGCUGGGAGGUUCAAGGUGGAUAGAGAGAAUGAUGAACUCACAUUGGCCCUCGGGACUGUCAUCUCUAGCACUUCCAGCUCCAGGACUAUCGUCACCACCGGGACCGUCGCUUCCUGCUCGAUCACAGUCUCCAUCUCCAGCACAUCCUGGUGGUGCGAGCGACGACGACAACAACACCCCUCCCUGCCCACCAUUGCCGGGACUAAGACCCGCAUUGAGUAAGGAACCUGCAACACCACUGAAGAAGUCGCGACCACCACCUUCAAGGCAAGUCAGCAAAAGAAGAAAGCAGAGAAGCCUAAACCCACUGAGAAGCCAGCGACUGAUAUGACCGAUGCGGAAAGAUGGAAGGCACUCAAAGAAGAAUGCAGGGAGUGGUUCAGCGAAGGCGAAGGUGAGAAAGUCGUAUGAAUCGAAUUCAAGGAUAUAUAUGAAGUGAACCAUCAGGAUGCCCUUGAUGUCUCUCUCAUCAGCGCCUAGGUUCUGUAAGUGUAUGUUUAUCUAUAAGUAAAUUUUGGCUCAUAUCAUUAUUUUUUUUGCGUGCGUCACCCUACUAACUUCGUCUUCCAUUUUAUGUAGGAUGCUAAUUCAGACGUGCCGCAUAGAAGCGUACUUCCAUGUUGGAUUCAUGGAUCCAUCCCUAGUUAACCAAAAGCCGAUACGGAAGUAGCUAGAGAAAACGUUGGAGGUGGUGUACAACCUCCUGGACAAACUAAACUACAGAAUAGGGGCAAUAUGUGAGGGUCUUGUAGGAUUCCUAGUGGACGAGGUGAUAAAUCCAUAAGGAGAAUAUCAUUCCAACGGACGAGCAUUAGACACACUGAGCAACACCUAGAUGGGAGGAUCCUAGGAAUGACCUCGACAGAUUUUGGUAUAAAUAGUAAUUGUGUAAAUACUAGUUUGAUUUGUAUAGGAAUAUACUAAGAAUUGUAUAUAUAGUAAUUGUACAAAUACUAGUUUGAUUUGUAUGAAUACUAGAUUGAUUUUAUUAUAAAAAAGUUUUAAGUCGUACGUGCAUGCGCCUACAAAGGCGCGGAUGCCUUUUAAUCCCAGUCGGAAAAACAAACUGGUACUAAAGGGGCUCGUGCCGCACCUGGCAUGACCACCCCUUUAGUCCCGGUUGAACGACCCAGGACUAAAGAUCUCCGCGUCUCAAAAAUUUUAUCUCGGAUGCUUUUUAGAGAGAUUUGAGGCCUAUCAACCAAGACUAAUAUCGAGUUUUCUACCAGUGAAACUAACUAACGUUCACAUGGUUUUGACAUUCACCUGCCAUUUGGUGUAGACAAGGGCACCCUAACAUAUGGUUAAUAUUAUUCUUGAAAGAAAAUCCUUUGAUUCAAAAUACUUCAAACCUAAUAAUACAAUACUUCUCACAUCUGAAAAAUAUGAGACGGCCCGACAGUAUUCUAAUCGACGCAAUAAUAUUUUGAGGGCAGCACUACUACAGCGACCCUCAUUCGUGCCGGUGCUGGGACUCCUAUCACGACCCUGAUACAAAUGAGGGUACAUUAUUGGUGCCAGUGCUAGAACAGCCACGAAUAACUUGCUAAACGUGCUGUUACACUCACUACAGGGACCAAGAAGGUAGAUAAAUUACACGACAUAGCCUUGGUUGCCGUGGAAGCGCCAAGAAGGGAGACAAAUUACAGGGACCACACCAUCAAGUAGAUAGUGACAAUAUGCAAAAGAAUACCCGCGCCUGUUAGCAUGUGAACUGACCACACCACGAAACGUGAUACACGGCAAGCGUACCAAGGCCUUGCUGUGCAGACUAUGCAUGGACAACACAUGGUACCUGACCGCUUUUGGCCUCAGACACAUCGAAAAACUGCAUCGUUCCACGUUGUACAUCCAUUGCUAGUUUAUCUAUAUUACAUAAUAUAUUAUUAGCUAUUUGAAUAGAAUGAACCAAUUAAAAAAUUGCGUUGUAUUUUUAGUACCGGCUGCAGGAUGGUGUUACCAACCAGUACUAAUUGGCCUGUAGGAGUGAUGGUUAUUAGACUUGGUACUGUUGUUAGCAUCAUUAACCUAAUUGUGCGCCGUAUGAAUUUGGGGAUGCAAAGCUAGCUCUCUAUGAAUGUGAGGGAUGGAAAGCUAGUUCUCUAGUAGUAAUUAUAUAUAUGACAGUCAAGAAAUCGAACACUAUGCUGCUACGAGUCACCAUCAUUUCCUUCAUUGACAAUCUGACAUAGGUGAAGCUGCUUCAAUAAUUUCCUUCGCGCAGUCGUGGAGCUUAUUGGAUUAUCACCAGGACGGGACACGGAAAUGGCCAGCAAUGAAGCUGAUUGCCGUCUGAGGAAGACUACAUACUUACCUAUGAAAUGAAGCGAUUGCAUAGACUAAUGAAGCAUUGCAUAUUUGCAUGUGAGUGUGGCAGAUAAUUCUGCAGGACAUGAUUGCAAUCCACGCACCAUCGAGAAGACUGGGGCGAUGGGGUUGCCUCAUCAAUAAUCACGUGGAUGCAUGCAUGCAUGUUCCCGCAACCGGACAAGGGUCUGAUAUAUGGCUAUAGUAUUACUGAGCCCACAUCAAUAAUUUCCACUGGUGUAUCGUGUGGGAAGAAUCAACAUACUACACCUCGAGUUCUUGGAACUAACUGACGUUCACAUGCAACCUCCACAAGGUGCUGUAUGCUUUUGACAUUCACCUGCCAGUUCGUGUAGAGAAGGACACCCUAACGUAUAGUUAAUAUUAUCCAUUUCAUGAGUAAAAUACUGUGAUUCAAAAAUACUUCAAAUCCCUUGAGACAAUACUUCUCACUUGACUAACCACUAACCAACCCCGAAACCCUAACUCAACUCCGAACCCUAACCCCUAACGGCAUAACCACUCCGUUUUGCCGGCGAGAUGGAGGAACUGGCUGGAAGGUAGAGAGGGCAGCGGUCCAGGGUUGAAAACGACGGGCGAGCGCAGUAACAUGUGGAGGAGGAAGUGCCACGUAUUCGUUCACCGCUAUUGGGCAGCGACACACGACACGCCCAAUAAGAUCUUCGCACGGUAGAAGGACGUCAUGUAUUCAAUAAUGUUAUUGGUCCCCCAUGUGCAGAAGGGCGCGCGCGUAUGGAAUAACAAGUAGGGACACUGCAACUAAUCUACUCUGCUCGUCCAGUCCCUAGCCUAUAAAUAGAUGCCAUGCUAGCUCUUGUUGUGCUCACAAUUAAUCCGAUUACACACGAGCUUCUCUCCCUGGCCAAGACACAACCAUAGUAUGAUGAAGAACAUGGCACUAGCCGGCAAUGGUAUGAAGAAGUUAAUCCUCGCUGUUCUCUUACUGUGUCUAGUUAUAGGGCAGAUACAAGUGGAAGCUAAGAGCUGCUGCCCAUCCACCACUGCAAGAAAUGUCUACAAUACCUGCCGUUUCACGGGUACAUCCCGUCCAACGUGUGCAAAACUGUCAGGCUGCAAAAUUAUCAGCGGGAACAAAUGCAAGCCCCCUAACGACCACCUCACCCUUGACCCGGACACUGGUAAAUAAUAAAUUUAUCUCACUUGAUUUCUUCGUGAUUUGAGUCGUUAAUGUAUUUUCCAUCUGAUGAAACGUAUUGGUUUUGCAUUGAAGAGGAAGUUAAUGUGCUUAACUUCUGCAAGUUGGGGUGUGCGUCGUCUGUGUGCAACAACAUCAACGCUGGUAAGCAACUUUUGCUCAGACAGAGAAAACAAUAAUCAUUAAUUAGCGGCAGCUAGAAUCCUAUAAUCUAAUAUAUAUAUAUAUAUAUAAUUUUAUCAGCUCUGGGAAAUGAAGAGGCGAACGAUGCCGUUGAGAGUUGCGACCAAGCCUGCUCUAGCUUCUGCAGCGUGCAUGUUGGCAGCGCCACCGUGGUUGCUUAAGCAAAUGCAUCCAACUAGAUCGUCCUUGUGCUGAAUAAUUGGAUAUCGUAUCCACUUAAAGCUGCCUUGUGUAGUACGUCUUUGUGUCUCUCUUUAUAUUCCAAUAAGGUCGGUGAUCUUGAUGCCACACACUCAGAUGUGUGUUCAUCUCCAGAUACUACUCCAUGCUACCUGCCCUUUGUGUUUUGUUCAAUAACUGGGUAUCAUAUCCCAGCCAGUAUGCCGUCUGUUUUGUGUUUGUUUCCUUCUAGUUCCAAAGGGGUCAUCAUGAUGUUACCUUCUUUCAAUAUGGUGCUUUGCAUGACUACUGUUGUAUGGUACCAUCUUGUGGCCAAUAAGUACAUCUUAUCCUAUGACCUUUGCUAUGACCCUUUGCAAAUAAGUAGAAGAUUGUUAUAAGCGUCAAUACUCCGUAUAAAUUGAUCGCUGCUGUGAGUUCCCUUUCAGCUUAUCGUAGGCAUACAUUAUUGCUAGCACGGUAAAGCCAACCAACACGAAUGAUGAAGUAAACGUAGCGGUACUUCUGUAUACCAACACCCUUACUUAAAUGUACCGGUGUCAUUCCCUACUGGCACAUAUAUUCUUAUAUGCUAGCCAGCUUGUAAAAUUAACCAAUUAAAAUAAUUAUUUCAAGAUAGAAAUAACUUAUCGGUUUCUGGAAGCAUGUGUAAUGUGAAUUCAAGGACUCGACGGAAGUUGAAUCACUUCAUCUAUAUUGCUUUCAGUAUUUUGGGUAACUAAAUUUAACAUUUGCACAUACAAAUGUUAAAGUACAAAUGUUAAAUCUAGUUACCCAAGCAGAAUAUGAAGAUAGUUUAUAGUAUAUAUAUACUAUAUAAAUCUAGUUAACAUUUAGUCUAAAUGUUAAAUCUAGUUACCUAAAAUCCUGAAAGCAAAAUGUAUAAAUAUAUAUCUUUUAAGGCAGUAUAAGCUUCGAUUCCUAUUGCUGCUCUGUUAAAUCUCAUCUUUCGUUGUGGCCCAACACUCUAGUAUGCAUGUUGCACCAAGCUUCUUUGAGCCGCUCUGCCCUCUGAUUUUGCUGCGUAGGGGAAUCUUUAUCAGGUUGGGCUACUUCCAGUUGUGCGAUGUAAAGAUUCGUAUUUUCUAGAAGGUAGACAAAAAACUCGCGUUCUCUUAAGGCAACAACCGGAAGAUUCUGCAGCGCACAGGGCAUACCAUUAUUGUAGAAACGACCUUUAGUACCGAUCUCCAACCCCCUUUAAAACUGGUUUUGCAACCGGUACCGUUAUGUCGGUCCUUUAGUACCAGAUCAAAUAAGUACCGGUUGGUAACCAGUAUCAACUUGUUUUGCGGCCAAAAAAAUAAAGAAAAAAACAGUCAGAAGGCUCGCACACACGCGCAUCACAUGAAAUAUGCGUGUGCGGGGUCCAUGGGAUUCGAACCCAUGAAAUCAAGCUGCACGCGACCCUUCGUUACCAUCUCACCUACAUAGCGCAUAUGCUUUCCUGAAGUAACCCGUGGAGGAGGCUUUAGUACCGGGUCAUAACACCACCCGGUACUAAAAAUGACUCUUCAGUACCGGGUCAUAACACCACCUGAUACUAGUAUCGGAUGGUGUAAUGACCCGAUACUAAAAGGCCUCUAGGGACCCUCAAAUUUGAACCCGGUACUAAUGCUAAUAUUAGUAGCGGGUCAAAGUGCAGCCAGAACUAAAGCAUGGGAUGAAAGGUCAUAUUUCUAGUAGUGUAUAGUUGUUGUGAAGGACUGACUUGGCUGUCCUCUCUCUUCUCCAUCCCCUUGGUCUUACGCCGCCGCUCGCACGCGAGCCGGUGCCCAACCAGAGGAGUGAGAGCUAGGGGCAGGUUGGGAGGUGGGGAUAGUGACUGGUGGCCAGGGUGAUGGUUGAUCCUGGUGGGGUUAGGGUUUCAGGGUUUUCGAGCUUCCUAUGGUCGGCGAACCUAGAGGAGAAGCUCAACAUCAGCUGCAACCCGCGAUGGUGGUGGUUUGGCCGGCGCCCGAGGCGAGGCAGCGCGGGAGUGCUGCCGGUGGGUUGGUGUUGGCACUCAUUAUUGACAACUAUUUUGUUCAUAAAAUAACACUCAAACUUGCUGCUGCUGCUGCUGCCAUCGCCACCCUAGCCAUAAUAUAAAGGCAAAAUUUGCUAAAGGACAUGCAAAAUGAUGCUAGUUUGCUGGCGGGCAUCGUUGACCUUGUAAUAUGCUACAAGACACUCUAGUUGUGUAUCAAUUUGCUGAAAGACAUUGCUAUGACUAAAAUAAUGUUUCUGGACUGAGUUGGAGAGAGAGAUGGAGUGAAAUGUCUGUUUUGCCCAUGACCCCACUGGUCAGAUCCUUCUUCUUCCACCCUCCUUUGUUCUUUCUUCAACCAUUACCCAGCUCCAGCGUGUUGCAGAUCUACGAGGGUGGCGGCCUGGGGCGAGGGGCAUCGCUCGCCCUUGGAGGAGCGCUGCGAGCGACGGCGCGGGGGCGGCAACAGCGCGUCAGAACCUGACUGUUCGUUAGCUCCUCUCGCUGCUGGGGAAGAAGGAGGGGGAUGGGCCAUGGACGGGGUUCCCUUGAAAACCUCAGCGUCGAGCUCGGGCGGCUACGCGCAGGCAGCACUAGGCUGCUUCACGGGGAGGGGGCGCGGCCAAUCAUUGGCACCCCACUGGUCCAAUGCUGAUGAAGAUGGUGCCAGCGUCGUGUGAGGACAUCUCAUCUCCUCGAGUUCCAUGGCCAGCACAGGUGAGCUGCCGCUACCACAAAACAGAGGUUUCGUGAGAGUCAAAAAACCUUAUGAAAAUAGCUAAAACCAUCAUGAAAAUAAUCCGUGACAUGACACUCUCACGAAAAUCCUCUCACAAAUAUGGUGCCAUGAAAAUACCAUUUUCAUGAGAGUGAACUGUCAUGAUUUUAUAAGCGUCAAUACUCGGUAUAAAUUGACUACUGCUGUGAGUUCCCUUUCAGCUUAUCGUAGGCAUACAUUAUUGCUAGCACGGUAAAGAGAACCAACACGAAUGAUGAAGUAAACGUAGCGGAACUUUUGUAUACCAACACCCUUACGUACCGGUGUCAUUCCCCACUGCCACAUAUAUUCUUAUAUGCUAACCAGCUUUGAAAAUUAAGCGAUUAAAAUAAUUAUUUCAAGAUAGAAAUAACUUAUCGGCUUCUCGAAGCUUGUGUAAUGUGAAUUCAAGGACUCGAUGGAAGUUGAAUCGCUUCAUCUAGAUUGCUUUCAGGAUUUUGGGUAACUAAAUUUAACAUUUGCACACACAAAUGUUAAUGUACAAAUGUUAAAUCUAGUUACCCAAGCAGAAUAUGAAGAUACUCUAUAGUAUAUAUGUACUAUAUAAAUCUAGUAAACAUUUAGUCUAAAUGUUAAAUCUAGUUACCUAAAAUCCUAAAAGCAAAAUGUAUAAAUAUAUAUCUUUUAAGGCAGUAUAAGCUUCAAUUCUCUGUUAAAUCUCAUCUUUCGUUGUGGCCCAACACUCUAGUAUGCAUGUUGCACCAAGCUUCUUUGAGCCGCUCUGCCCUCUGAUUUUGCUGCGUAGGGGAAUCUUUAUCAGGUUGGGCUACUUCCAGUUGUGCGAUGUAAAGCUUCGUAUCUUUUAGAAGGUAGACAAAAUACCCGCGUUCUGGAAGAUUCUGCAACGUGCACGUUGGCGCUGCCACCGUGGUUGCUUAAGCAAAUGCAUCCAACUGAAUCGUCCUUAAGCUGAAUAAUUGGAUAUGGUAUCCACUGCUUAAAGCUGCCAUGUUUAGUACGUCUUUGUUUUUCUCUCUUUAUAUUCCAAUAAGGUCGGUGAUCUUGAUGCCACACACUCAGAUGUGUGUUUAUCUCCAGAUACUACUCCAUGCUACCUACCCUUUGUGUUUUGUUCAAUAACUGGGUAUCAUAUCCUAGCCAGUGUGCCAUCUGUUUUGUGUUUGUUUCCUUCUAGUUCCAAAGGGGUCAUCAUGAUGUUACCUUCUUUUGAGGUGUCUAUGAUGACUUCGUUAAUAUCAAUAUUAACCAAUUCAAUCUGUCUUAACUAUUUGUAAGGGGUAUGAUGUAUGCAUGAUUAUAACAAUGAUUGCGCAUACAAUCGCCGCCAAAGAAACGGUCAAUACCAUUAAGACAUAUUACAGACAAUUCUCAUAAUCUAUAAUGAAUAUACAUAUUCACUACUGCAGAAGACUGUCAUUUGUAUCGGCUCAUACGUGCCAGGGCAAAGGUCACCCUUGCAUUAAGUACAUUUGCACGGUAAAGACAACCAACACGAAUAAUGAAGUAAACAUGCCGGUGCUUUUGUACACCAACACGCUUACUUAAAUGUACUGGUGUCAUUCCUCACCGGUAGCCGGCUUGAAAAUUAACCAAUUAGAACAAUUAUUUAUUGUAUCGGUGUGAUUUUUGACCUAUUGGAAUAUGAAUUUGACCGUUACUGCAUUCGUCAAGACUCAAGAGAGAAAUAACUGAUCGGCUUCUUAGAGCGUGUGCAAUGUGAAAUCAAGGACUGGAUGGAAGUUGAAGCGCUAGCACUAGUAGAGAAACGACUUUCCAUCCACCCCCUUUUGUCCCGGUUUAAAGUUGGCUCGGGAUAAAAGGUUCACCAACCGGGACUAAAACUCAGUCACUGGUGGGAGGCUCACCAACCGGAACCUUUUAUCCCGGUUGCAAAGGCUAAUGGGAAAAAAAGACUCUGAGAGGCCUUUUAUCCCGGUUUGAAACACCAACCGGGAUAAAAGACCCCCCUUUUAUCCCGGUUGGUAACACCAACCGAGAUAAAAGGGUCAAGAGCCUUUUAUCCCGGUUGGAAACACCAACCGGGAUAAAAGACCCCCUUUUAUCCCGGUUGGUGUUUCAAACCGGGAUAAAAGGGCCCCCACGAGGUGACUGGAAGGUGACUGGAAGGGGAUUAAAUCGUGGGGGACCCUUUUAUCCCGGUUGGAAACACCAACCGGGAUAAAAGGGGGUCUUUUAUCCCGGUUGGUGUUUCCAACCGGGAUAAAAGGGUCCCCCACGAGUUAAUACAAAAGGAUAGUAUCCCCUACAUAGUCAGAUGUGGUGUGUAGGUGGGAUGGUAAGGAAGCUACGCGCGAGCUCCGGAAUUUUUUUUUUUUUUUUUUGCAGCGUCGGCGCUCUCUACCCUUUUAUCCCGGUUGGUAUUACCAACCGGGAUAAAAGGGGGUCUUUUGUCCCGGUUGAGUGACCCGGGAUAAAAGACCCCCCCUUUUUUCCCCGGUUAGUUUAUCCCGGAUGCAUUUUCGGGAUAAAAGCACCCUACCAACCGGGAUUAAAGCUCACUUCUCUACCAGUGUAGCUUCAUCUUCCGCUGCAAGUUAAUUGCUUGGAUAAGAAGUUGUAGCCGCUGCAAGUUAUAAAUAGUCCCGCUGAUGCUGUGCUCCGAAGUCUAUACUAUAUAUGCGGAAACUAGAUUGCUUUCAGGAUUUUGGGUAACUAAAUUUAACAUUUGUACAUAAAAAUGUUAGUUUACGAAUGUUAAAUCUAGUUACCCAAGCAGAACAAGAAGAUAGUAUAUAGUAUAUACUAUAUAAAUCAAGUUAACAAUUAGUCUAAAUGUUAUAUCUACUUACCCAAAAUAUUGAAAGCAAAGAAAGAAUAAGUAUAUAUCUUUUGUUGGAAAAUUGGUCCACGGAGAGGCCCAUUUAGGCCUCGUUCGUUUCACCGGGAUGGGAUUCCAGUCAGGAUUACUUCCAAGUUCGGUUUGAGUGAUUCCACCCGUGUCACUCAAUCCGGCUAGGAUUCAUUCUAUGGGUGAGGAGGUAUGGUUUCAAUCCAGGCCAUCUAAUGUAGAAGGAUUCCAAUCCAGGCCGGUUUUCGUUCCAGGCCAGACUAAAACGAACAACACUUUCAAUGCAAGUCUGGUUUCAAACCGGGCCAUUUCAAACCACCCGGAAUGGACCUCGUUCCAGGCCAAUCCGGUGAAAACAAAUGAGGCCUUAAUGGAAUCCCAAAGCAAGAGUUCAGUGGCAUUCUAUAGUCCCAUGCUGCUAGUUUGAGUUGGUCGAAGCCAACUUAAAUAGGAGAGCUCUCUCACUUCUCUAAAUACGUAACUGAAGGAGAGAAGGGGGCUUGGGUUACACAACGCACGCACGCACGCAUAUUUGCGUUCUUUUCGCGUAACCAACCGCGUGACUUGAAACUUGCGACGUAGCGUGCUGCUAAGUCAAGUUGAUAUAACCUUUUUGCCGUUUGCAUGUAAUCUUUUGACAACGGUCAUUGGAGGUGAUAAGCACGCAGUCAAUACCUUAAUCUUGAGUUAAUAGGGUGGUUACUACUGCCAAUUAGUGGGGCAAUUUUGUAGGGGAAACGGUUAGCAGAGGGCUACCGUCUUCUCUAUAAGAAGUUCUGGAGACGUCCAGGAACACACAUGUACAUGUGAGAGACCCACAAAUUCCUUCCCUUCUCCCUUUUCCAUGUGGUGAAGUGUGCUGUGGUACUGAGCUGCUUGAUCUCGCCGCUCUUCUCCUUGGCAUGCACCGAGGAGGAGGGUGAGCGGUAUCUCCGAGCUAUUGCCGUCAGGAAGCCUGCACGAGGGACAACAAAAAGUUUUUGGGUAGCGCAACUGCCAGCACAACUCUCCCUCCGCCUCUUCUUCACGGUUGAUGGCCACCACAAGCAUAAACCUCGCCUUCGCAUCCACGCAAAAGGGUCGCUGGGGUGCCUUCUUGCAUCGCUUCUCAGCCUCCUUGACUUGCGGCCAGCCAAGAACUGCGCCACCACCUCGGGUGCACGCCACCACUCCAGGGCUGCUACCCCAUGCCUGCGGCCGCCGCCGGCCACCACGCGUGUGCAACCGCGUCGCACCGCUUCCUUGCUUUGUGCCACCACUGCUGCUGUACCACCAGCUCCACCACCUUGGGCUGGUCGCCAGAGUGACUGAUAACUUAUUAUCUGUAACUACUAUUAACUCAGGGAUACAUGCGUCUUUUGCUUCUCCUACUAAUAUGUCCUAAAAUAUCUAGGAUGCCUUAUAUUUCUGGACAGAGGAAGUAUUUGAAUAAAAUGAACCAAUUUAAAAAAAUGUGUUGUACACUACUACAGAAAGACCUAUCAGUGUCAAACCCAAAAAUGUUGUCACCGCCAGUUUUGGGCAUCAUUGGUGAAAGGUUGGCGGUGAUGGGCUUUCCCUUCAACAACGGCACUGGAGCCGACGGUGAUUGACAUUAGAAAACAAAAAAGGGGACCCUACCUAGCCACCCCUGCAACCCGGCCGGCCGUGCCUCCCCUCAUCCCCACCACCUCGCCUCCCCAUGACCCCCCGCCGGCGCCCUUGCGCCUAGCCCCCUCAACUGCCCAGCCGGCCACCCUCAUCACGAGAGAGAGGUGCAUGUUGUAUAAUUGCGUGAAUUUUUUAAUGUUUAAUUUCAUGUAAGUUCCGUGUAAUAAAUUGUACAAGUUUUAUUGUAUAUAUGAAUUCCAUAUAUAUAUAUAUAUAUUUAUAAUUUAAUGUAUGGUUUCAUGUGUAUAUUUCAAUCAUGUGUAUAUUUAGUAGAUUGCCGAUUUUCUUUUUCUACUAGACAAGGGUUGAUGUAUAAUUACGUGUAUAUGUUUAUUGUACGGGCAAUUAGGACAAGUUUUGUAUAAAUUUCUUUUAUUUGAUGGUUGUUGUAUGGUUUCAUGUAUAUACAUUUAUUGUACUACUUUAGACAAUUUUUAAUUUAAUGUUUCUAUGAUUAGAUGUGUGUAUAACUAAUUGUAUUAUUAGUUAAGAUGGGAGCUAAAGAGGAUGAAAGGUAUAUAAUGGAGCAGAUUAUUGCUAGCUCAAACGUUGCAAGAACCUACACCGAGGGUGAGGGUAGCUAGGUGGACAUGUACCUCAACAUGUCCAGUGAUGGCAAUGACGAUGAGGAGCACGAGCAUGACAUCUAUGAUAAUGCGGAACAAGACAUUGCAGAAUUGGAAGGUUCUAAUGAGGUGUGCUUCAUGUUGACAAUCUAGUUGGCUUUUUUUCGUUGGUCACACCUUAGUUACCAUAGAACUUCGUCUCGGGAGAAGAUUGGUGGUGGUAUGGUGAUUGGAAUUUUAUUUCCACGAAAUCUGAUUUCCAUCGAAUCAUAUCCCUUGUAUUUAUCUUCUUUUUAUUUGUGAGAGCAUCUUCUUUAUGCUUGCAAAACAAUUCAAGUGCACAUACUACCCCUAGGGUGACGAUUGGGAGUAGAAAUAAUUGCCAACAAAACAACACCACAUCCUAAGAUUCUUAACUUGUGGCAUAAUUAGUCUAGUAAAAAGAAAGAUAAAAACCUAAUGGGUGUAUGUGAGUGCAAUGUGUAUAUGCAUAUGAGUGGAAGGCAUAUAAGCAAAGACAAUAUUUACACAUAGUUCUAAACACCAUGUUUACAGCUAGGUUGCUGAAUUUCUCCAUAGCCAUAGAGAUUAAUUAACCAAGGUCAAAACACGAUGUCUAUCCCAAGAUCAGUAAUUAUUUAUAGCACAAGAAAAAGAAAGCGCAUUGCAAAGUUUAUAAACCAACCAAUACAGCAUGAAAACAAGAUGAAUAGCUAGCAAGGUUUAUUAAACUGAAUGAUGACGGUCUGUAAGCAAGUUUAAACACCAUCUUUACACAAGAUUGCAAAUGGAAAAUGCCCAUAUGAAGCACUAACAUGGAUAUGAAAUCAUUCAUCAUAAAGCGUAAAGAACAACCAAGCCAACCAUAUGCAAAGCAUGAAUGGAAUGCAAUGAAGGUGCAAGAGAACAUUUUUGGAUGAACACAUUAUGAUGAUGGCAAAAUGCAAUGCAUGCAGAAAAAAUAAAUAUGAACAUGAAUAUGAUGAUCAGGGGCGGACCCACUAUUGUGGCCUGGGUAUUCCUCGGCAUACCCAAUAUUUUUGGGAAAAUGUUUAGUAGUUUUUAAUGGCAUAUACAUGUAUAAUAUAGUUUAGGUGUUAAAAUUGAUAUUCACAGCUAUUUUGGGCUCCAAUUCGCGUCCAAACCAACCUGGCCCACAGACCGCACCCGGCCGCCCGGCCCAUCGGCCCAUCUUGUCACUGAUCCUCCCACCACCACACUCAGCCCGUCAGUUAGUCAGGUCCCGAGCUCCUGCCUGACCUAGUCCGCUACCACCGCCAGGCGCCAGGCACAGCUGUACACGCCGCCCCCGUCCACCCACGUCCGCCGCACGGCCGCGUCGCGCCCCCCCCCGGCGCCCGCUGCUGCCAGAACCCAUUAGGCCUCCACCGGCAAGUCCACCCACAGUCCCGCGCGACGCGGCAGCCUCUUGGCUCUCGGCGCUCGCGGCGCGCCAAUGCCUGCGCAGCCCCAGCAGGCGACUGCCCCCCCCCCCCCCGCAUCGGGCCUCGGCCCCUCCCCAGCUCCCCCUCCCCCCUCCACCAGGACUGCCUGCUGGCCCCCACCGCGAGGUAAUCGAAAUGGACUGCUCAAUCUCUCAAUCUGUUGACAUGAUGCACACGGUUGCAAAAAUAGAUGUGUCAAAAUAGAUGUAUUGCCAAUUGCUAUAGAUGCAUAUGGUUGACAUGAAGAAGUCAAAAAUGACAUUUGGUUCCUUGUAGGCAGUCAAAAAUGAAGAAGUCAAACAAUAUUGAUCUGAAAUCAAUGCGGGAAAGGGCUACGAAGACACACGGGUAGAUUCCCUUGUGAACUUUUUAUGUCGUUCGUCUAAAUAUAUUUUUGCAAUGGGCAUACCCUACUCUGAAAUCCUGGGUCCGCCACUGAUGAUGAUGGUCUAAACAUAAAACAAGCCUAGAUUAAUUAGCUACAACUGAAAUUAAGCAAAGGUUAAUGUCAUUGACCCUAGCUCUAUCCUAGCUUUUACUAAAGUCCCGGCACAUAUAGUGGUUGGGCCCACUCUCUCUACUUCCCUCUCUGCUGCAUGCACACACACGAGCAACUGGAGGCCCAACAAAGCCCAGAAGGGUUCGGCCGAACCCGUCCGAUCCAGUCUGAGCGCCGCUCCCUCCCAGCCUUCGCGCAGAUGCUCCUCCAACGUUCCUUGACCCCUCCCUCAGUGUCCCAUUGGGUUUAACAUUGUAGGAGAGGAGUCCCUUUUUUAAAAUCUCAACCACCUCCUCUCCUCAUUCACUCCACUCUCAUCUCCAUCAAACUCACCAAGAUCCACAUCGGAAAUACCUGCUUACCACCAUGGCUGGCAAAGCCCUCGUCCCUUUCACCAACUUGGGCUUGACCAUUGAUCUCGAUGGGAAAAUCACUCCAGCAAAUGUCAUUGUCCCUGUCGGCGAUCUGGCGAUGGAGGAGGUCCAGGCACUAGAGGUCGAGCCCCUAGCCAUCAUACCGCCCAAGGGGUAAAGCAGGAGCAUGACAGGCGCUGCUAGGGGUUCAGCCGAACUCCCAGUUCAGCCAAACGAGGACGGCGUCGCCUCGGCCUCCCGCUCGACUGCAUGCUUCCCCUUGCCAAGGAGGACUCCAGAACAGCGGGCGCGUGCGUCAAGUCCCUACAAAAGGCUGAAAUACAAUGAAUAUCCAGGGUCACCCUUGAAGAUGGGUGAACGCUACGCCGGGUCCUUGUUUGACUAGUACGGCGAUGCAUUCUGCCACCGCUAUGUCGUUGUCGAGAUUAGCGGAUCAAGACUUAGACUAGUAAAUUUCUUUUAUGCGCGUAAGGCUUCAGAUGGUGGCGUGGGAGACAUGGGUUUUAUACUAGUUCGGGCAAUGGAAUACCCUACGUCCAGUGUCUGGAGCUGCUUGUGUUGCCCACGCGGGGUUCUGUAGUAGGGGUUACAGGUGUGCGAGAGAGGGAGCUAAUCCCAGGUCUCUUAGGCGUGUUCCGGUCCUCUAGAUGGGAGAAGUGUGUUCUGUUUGCUUGGGAGUAUCGGUUGUGUCUGAGUUGUCUCCGGAGCCUCCUCCCGUCUCAGGUCCCCGAUUCUCCUUUCAUAGCACAAGGAGACCAUCGGGGUUACAGACGAGACCGAGCGUGGGGAGGAGUAAAGAGAUAAACAUAGCUAGGUAAAAAUACAACAAGAAAGGGGGGAACCAAGUUUCUAGGUCACCGGCGUCCUCGCCGGCCUUCGACUUCCGCCGGCGCAUUUGUCGGAGGAGGGUGGCCGCCAUCGCGUUCUGUCGAUGGCUUCCUCGGUGACUGUAGCCACCGGGCGUGAUGAUGGCAUUUCGUCGUGACCCUUUGUCUGUUGGGGGAGGCGGCGGAUCCUGCCAUUCUGCUGACGGCUCGCGGAGUGCGAACGUCGCAUCCCUGCCGCUGGGCACGCGGGGCGCGAGAACGUGCGAGGCUUCCCCCUACCCCAGGCGGCGCAGGCCAUGAGUGCCCUGUGGCAAAUCGGAGGAGGCCGCAGCUACUGUAGCUUGUACUGUGCAGCCACGUAUGGGUACUUGUGGCAGGUUGCGUGGUGGAUGCGGAUAUCCUUCUCCCUGACAGAUCUGCGGCGCAUUUAUGGCGAGAUCGACAUGGGGACCCACAAGACCCGCGCCCAAGGCGGAUACUUGUCUGGAGGGCCCGGGUUAGCCUGACCCCCUACGCUUGGGGUCGGGCGAGGCGGAGACUUGCGGCGGGGCGUCGGACGCUCCCGACACUAGACCUGCGGUCGCGCAAGGCGGAGCUUGGUCUUCCGGGGGUCGGGGGUGCCGGACCCCAGGAUGCGGGGUCGGGCGAGGUGGAGCGUAAUUCUUGCCUCCCAUGUUGGGCCGAUGGCAGUCUUUGUUACCUCUAGUGGGCUUGGGCCUUUAUGUUUUGUUGUUUCCAUGGGCUUCGAGAGGUCGUUAAUAUUUCCCCCCAACAGUAGCCCCCGAGCCUGUGGUGGAGUGGGGGCGCUCCUCCGGAGGCUACUAUCAUCGCCCCUAGGGAAUCCUCGCAGUUGAUCCGGGAUAGGAGGUGUUGUUUGCACGGCUUGACCGAGGGGGUCGAUUAGGCGACGCAUCCUGUGAGCGACUCGGUGCGGGAGGGUUUCUUGUUGUUCCCUUCUGUCUGAGAGCCUUAAGUCGAGACCACCUGCGUGGCCUUUGGUUGCAAGGCCAGCCCCCGAGCCCCCGCACGUUGCAGGGGACCGGUCGGAGGCUAGGUCGACUUUUGUUCAUUACCCUCAAGCGUCUGUUCGCUAGGACGGAGGGGGCGAGCCGUGCCAUGCUAUCCUCAUCGGACGAACCAUGGUGCUCAUUGAGUUACUAACGGGUUGAUUCGAGUGGGAUCCCGGUCCCCGUUCGGGGGGGGUCCGGCUUGGGCCAAGCUGGUGGCGUACCCCAGGCUCCGGUCGGCCAGUUCAUAUAGUUCCUGAGUCCGUUCGGUCGGACCGGGGGCUCAUUGCCUUUCUUCGGGGAAAAACCAUGAACUUUGAUGCCGGUCCAGACUCGAAUGUGAGAUUGAGACGCCCGGGGCUGUCGCGUGCCCGGGUGAUGGCCGCUAGCGGACCCGUCUCCUCUCACCCCUCACUCGGGGGUAUCCUGAGGCGGCUGUCGAACCCGUGGCGGGCCAGCCUUCGAACCUCUGGAUCGUAAUGGGCCGUAGGGGCGUUUUCAGCCCCGUAUCCCUUUUUACCUUUUGGUGGGCCUUGGGCCGAAUCAUGGAGGAGGUCGGGCCUUGGGCCGGAUGCGGAGGAUGUCGUGCCUUGGGCCGGAUGUGGGGGACGUCGUGCGUGUCUUCCGGGAGACGAAGUGGUGGAGGGUGCCAACCCGCGAAUCGAGGGAGGAGGGGAUGUUUCUACUGCAGGUCAUGCGCACGGUUUCCGAAAAGGCAGCGGGCGUGACGGGACGUACCUCGCGCCGCAUUUAUUGCGAUGGGGGCGUCUGUUCUGCUUCCCUCGUGCCUUCCCUAUAAAACGAGGACUUCGCCUCGCCGGUUCCGCCCGCCAUCUACCUUCAAGCCUUUUCGCCUCCUCGCGCGCCCUUAGCUUUCCUGUGCCCGCUUCGUCUUCCUCCGCCCAGUGCCGCGCCCUUUCUCCCCAUCCGCCGUCGAGUUCUUCUCCCUCCGGCGAUGGGAUCCUGGGCGCGUUCCCACUUCGGCCCCUCACGCGCCGAAGGCCUAGUGAGGAAAGGCCUCCUUUGCGAGAGGACGGAGACGGAUGAGUGGGGGUUCCCUGAGAUGGAAGAGGUGCCGACUCCGCCCACCGGCUACGUCGUUUCCUUUGCCCACUUCCACGAGAGGGGGUUUGCGACUCCGCCGAGCCUCUUCUUCCGCGGGCUUUUGUAUUACUACGGGCUUGAGCUGCAGCACCUCAACCCCAACGGGAUUCAGCACGUCGCGGCGUUCGUUGCGGUGUGCGAGGGGUUCCUGGGCAUUGAGCCCAACUUCUCGCUGUGGAAGUACUUCUUCACGGUCAGCCUAUACCAGAAGGCCGAGAAGAGGGGAAGCCAGCAGCGGUCGACCCCGGUGCCGAUAGGGUGCGUCGGAAUCCACCUCUGCCAUACUCGCGCCAAGGAGUAUAUCGCGAUGAAGACCGCGGCAUCCCACAAGGGGUGGCACCAGCAAUGGUUCUACGUGAAGAACUACUCCAACCCCCCCUGCCGGAGUUCACCGGCCGCAUUAUUGAAGCGGCGCCGGAGGUGUGGGUGUACGGCCCGGUGGAGAAGGAGAAGAAGCGGAUCACCGGCCUGCUGCAGGCCAUCGAGCACCUGAAGGAGAGGGGACUGACCGGAGCCGGAGUCAUCGGGGCGUACCACGCCCGGCGGGUGGCGCCGCUGAUGCUCCGGGUCCGCUCGCUCGCCGACAUGACCCCCGGUGCUCUCACCGAUGGCACUGUCCUCGCGACGGGUGCUCUCGCUGCCUCCGAGAUCCGGCAGCGGAUCCGGGAGGCGCUGGAGGACAAGGACGCCGAUUACCCGGUGCCCGGCCACCCUCCGAUGCGCCCGGACGAGAAUUUCAUUGAUCUGGUAAGGAUUUUGCGCGCCAGUUUCCCUCUCUUGCGUUUCUUGGUAUGCCGUUCUGACGCGAGGCCCUCUGUGUUUGCAGGGUAGCAUGACCCGGGUCGUCGACUUGCGUCCGCCAGUGUCGGAGGACGCCGAGUGGCGGUAGCAGAACCGUCUCCUUGCCGAGAAGCAAAAGUGACGCAAGGACAAGAGACAGCGAAGAAGAAGAAGAGGGCCGCCAAGGAGUUCCAGCGGCGGCGGUGGGGAUAGGUCGUGUCGGAUGACGAUGACGAUGAGAAGGAGGAGGAGGAUGACGAGGAGGAGGAGGAGUUUAUCCUGUCCCCCCGGUCAGGGGCGCUUGUUAUCCGGGAGCCGCGCUCCCAAGCGGCCAUGGGGGACAAGGCGGGCGAGCUGCCUGCCCGGACCCGAUCCUGCGAAGCUUUGGGGGCGCGCCCCAGGGGUCGGCGCAGAGCGCCCCCCGGGGGUCGACGGAGCCGACCCCCAUCCCUACACCUGCAGCCCAGGAGCAGAGGAGCAGCGACAAGCGGCCGUUGCCAGAUGCCCCGGGGUCGGCGUCCAGCUCAGAGGCGAAGCGCGCGCGCCGCCCUUGCGCUGGGGGAACGUGAGUUGAAUUUCCUUGCGAAUCUCGUUCCUUUCCAUGCAUUGUGUUUGUUUCCGCUGAUGCUGUUUGUUGUCUCACAGCACCGCCCCUCAAGGCCUUGUCCCGCCGUUGGCGCCAAAGAAGGCGUUGCGGUGUUGUCGCCUCUGCGGGGCGGACCGCGGCUCCGCCGGCGGCGAGUGGCGGGGUCACUGGUGAGACCGCGGGUCCUACCGCGGAGGUGGCCCCUGCGGCGGCAACCGGUGGAGUGGUGCCACCGCCGGGCAUGGGACAGGGUCUGGACCCCGCUCCGUCCUCCGCCUCUUCGGCCGACCCCGCGGUGCAGAGUAUCGCUCCUGGGGGCCCUCAGGCCGGGGAGGUGAUUGACCUCGACGCCGACGAGGUGGAGGAGACGGCGGCGGUGGAGACGGGGGCGGUUGCCCCAGCGGCCAUGACGGGGACGACGACGGCGACGGGGGAAGGAGAGUCUACCCCCGCGGCCACGGCGGGGACAGUGGCGACAGAGGAGGCGGGGACGCCCGCCCCGGCGGCUGCGACGGAGGAGGCGGCGGUGACGGAGACGGGGGCUUCCGCCCGGGAAGCCACAGCCGAGGUGGCAGCGGCGACGGAGGUGAAAGUGCCUGUUCUGGAGGCCACGGUGGGGGUGGGGACGCCUGCCUCGUGGCCACGACGGAGGGCGAGGCGGCCCCAGGGACACUUGCUCCGGCACCCGCGUUGGAGGCGGUGGCGCCGACGGGUUGGCCCGUGGCGGCCUCGACGGGGGCGGGGGUGCGUGCGCCGGGACCGUCGGUGAGGCCGGCGACUUCCGGGAUGGUGGUGCCCGUCUUGACGGCGGCGGCGGCGCGGUCGGCCCCCGCCCUUGCCUCUACCACUCCCAUUCCCAAGGCGUGGAGCGGAUCCGUCCUGCGUUGGUCGUCUCGUGACGACCCGCAGAGGCCCCUCUUCACGUUGGAUGAUGCCACAGAAUGGGGCAAGUGGCAGGCGCUGCAGGGCGGACUCGCUAACGUCCGCGCCGCUCUAUCUUCGGCGUUGGGGGAGCUGGACGGCGUCAUCUUCCCCGGUGGCCGGGUAUGGUGCUUUCUCCGUUGGUUAUUUUCUUCCCGUUACUUCGUCCCUGAUGGCACAUUGUUCUGCAGGCCCUCCAAGAAUGUAGCCGGGGAAAAUCUGAUUUCCUUUGGCUCGAGCAGGGGCUCUGGGAGCGCUUCAACUUGGAGUUGCAGCGGACCGGGGAGCUGACCAUGCAAGUCGCCACCGUCUAGCAUGUCAUCGACGAUCUGCGAAGGCACGAGCAGGCGGCACAGGAGGACGCGCGGCGGGCGGAGGCCAAGUUCCAGGUCGUUGCCGAAAGGGCUCGCUGCGACCGCGAGGAGUUCCAGGCCGUUGCCGAAAAGGCCCGCCACGACGCUGAGGAGCUCGCACGGCUGAAGGUGCAGCAUGAAGCUCUUCAGAAGAGCGGCAGAGGGCCUGGCAGGACCGGGACGCCGAGAAGGUCCGGAAGGAGGAGGCUGAGAAGGUGGCGGCCAACCUUGGGGCUGAGGUCAGCCAGCUCCAAGUGCAAGCGCGAGAGCUUCAGGCCUCCGUGGCCCAGGGGCUCGACCAGGAGCGCCAGCUGAAGGCCUAAUCCGAGGGUAUGACUCUGUUUAUUUCUUUGUCUUUGUGAUGUUGCGGUGAUAUUUUAUUUGGCGGGUUCUUCUGGAUGAUCCUUGCAGAUGAGCUCAACUGGCUGAGGGAGGUGCUUGACGCGGAGCGCGCUGAGCACGGCGACCUGCGGGACGCGGUCCGCGUCAUCUGUGACUUCCUUAGUGUGGUCCAGGGGGAGGGGACGAGCUCGCUGGCGGCUCGUGUCCUCGGGACGUACCGCCGGACCAGCGAGAUCGCCCUGGAAGCGCUUCGCACCGGCUUGAGGCAAGCCUUUGGGGUCUUCGGCUCCCACUAUUCCGGCAUCAACUUCGCCGGGAUGAGCGGGGGAUACGCCACCGGCUACUACGAGGCCGAGCUGGAUGAGAUCGACGUGUCGGUGCUCAGCCCGGCGGAGGCCUUGGUGAAGCUCCUCGAGGAUGAGGCCGUCCCGCCCGAAGAUCCCCGGACGAGUUAACUAUAUCGGGCUGGCGCCCCAGAUGUAAAUACGUUAGGGAAAGACUUGUUUUUUGUGAGGGCCGUAGAGGCCUUUUCUAUGAAUUGUCGUAAAAAAGUUUUUGAUUCCCUUUCUUGCUUUUUGGACUUGGAAAGUUUAGAGCACGUUGUCGGGCGUGUCAGUAAGCUUUGAUGAGCGAAGGCACCGUAGCCGCUGGGGCGUCGUUUUUUUUGCAGUCCGAUCAAUCUUGCCUGAACACCGUUCGUGCACUUUCUCCUUUUUAUGCCCAAAAGUUCAGAAAGAGGGUCGGCUCGGAAAGAGAAAGCGUUUUGAGAGGGUGUCAAGUGGCUUAGGUACUUGCGGCAGGUUGCGUGGUGGACGCGGAUAUCCUUCUCCCUGACAGAUCUGCGGCGCAUUUAUGGUGAGAUCAACAUGGGGACCCACAAGACCCGCGCCCAAGGCGGAUACUUGUCUGGAGGGCCCGGGUUAGCCCGACCCCCUACGCUUGGGGUCAGGCGAGGCGGAGACUUGCGGCGGGGGGUUGGACGCUCCUGACCCUAGACCUGCGGUCGGGCGAGGCGGAGCUUGGUCUUCCAGGGGUCGGGGGCGCCUUACCCCGGGAUGCGGGGUCGGGCGAGGCGGAGCGUAAUUCUUGCCUCCCAUGUUGGGCCGACGGCAAUCUUUGUUACCUUGGGUGGGCCUGGGCCUUUAUGUUUUGUUGUUUCCAUGGGCUUCGAGAGGUCGUUAAUAUUUCCCCCCAACACUAUGAGGAGGACUUGUGGGCAGAAAGUCAGCUACCACAAACUUGCCUCUGAAUAUUUGGAGUGCAAACAUUGGAUGGUGGUUGUGGAGAGCCCCAGCCAUACCUCGCACCCGUGGAGAGGUAAUUGUCGGAUUGCUUGGUUCGUCUCUAGAAUGCGACAAGGUCAGGCGCCACCUCUCACUGCUGCCAGUCAGAAGGCCGAGGGGCCAGUUUCAACAUAGUAAUGAGAAUCUCCGAAGGCCAAUAUGGUUAAGCAGCUAACCUCCAUGAUCAUAGACUUACGUUUAGAAAAUAGGAGGCUUAGCGAUGCGUUAACAGAGCAGAAGUUAGAAACAGAAGAACUUAAGGACGACUUCCGUGUCCUCCGCCUUGGUCUUUGUGCUAAGAUAAAGCGCUUGUACAAUGCCACGGGGAAUGACGGUCUCUACGAUGCAGCUCAAUAGACGUGCCCCUUGUAUCCUUUCCUUUAGGCACUUUAGAAUAUGUUUAUUUGUUUUCCUUCAUUUUAAUUUCCAAUAGAUUGUUAGCGCCUCCAAUUUAAUUUCAAUAAAGUGUAGACUCACCGGUCAUCCAACUUGAUGGAGUCCUUUUGUCACCUAGUUGUCUUUGGAAGAAGUAGCUGGGUACAAAAUAAGUGUGGGGGAGAGCCACAGACUCUCUAGAGCUGAAACAAUGCACAACACCCACAAAUAGAGAAAACCACGCUGCACCAGCACGUACGUGAAAGUGGAGCCAGAGCUGGACCCAUAGGGGUUUGGCCAACCCAAGGGGUGGCCCACUCGGGCCAUCUUCAUCCACCGCGUCGGUUUGUGUCUCUUUACCCCUGAUCUCCCUGAUUCAUGAGUUUGAAUGAAUUUUAAAUCUGAUCAACUAAUUCAAACUCAACUAAAAUGAAUCAACUGCUCCACCUGCUCUACAUGUUUUCUAUGGUUGGCUUGCAUAUGUUUUAUUUCAUGCUUAUCAUCUUGAUGCUUGUGAACAAAUAUCUUUAGGACAGCAUGCUCAUCUAAGUAGUUGAUGUGUAUGAUAUGGUUCGAUGAUAUGAUCUUCACUCUUAAUGCUUAAGUGCUUGGGAAAAUCUAUUUGAAAAUUUAAAAGCCUUUUUGAAAUCUCCUCUUUGAUGUGCCAAAGUCCUACCAAAGCCAUAUGAUAAGUUAUCUUGAAAAACCAUUUGCAUAUGUUGCUUGUCUUUGCAUUGAGCUUUGUCAAAUUGGUGUGACCCUUGUCACAAUUCUUUUCAUACUUUCAUGAUCAAGACUCAUGUGCACGCCAUAUACCCCUUGCUAUGCUUCUAUGAGAUGUUAGCAUUGUACCAUCCAUUCAUUCCACAAAAUAAAUGCUCCACCAUAUGUGUUGGUCUCCUUCUAAGAUUAUUGUUACAAAAGAGAUAUGGGCUAUCAAAAAAAAAUAUGAAUGUCCAAGAAAGUUGGACACAUGAAUGUCCAAUAAAAAGAAAAAGAAAGAUAGCCAUGUCCUCAGAAAUAUUUACAAAGGGAGAGAGAUCAUACAAAAAGGAGUUUCCAUUCCAUCCACCACAUCCAUACAUGUGCACAUCUUGAUCUGAUUGUAUGACUUAUUUUUCUCUUUGGAUCUGGUCUUUGACUUUGCAAUAUAUGUGAUGCAAGCAUGCCUUAUCCUUCAUAGCCUACCUUGAGCUCCACAUAUAGCCAUCAUUAGAAGUAGGAUGAAGAAAGGCAAGUCUAAUGCCUUGGUGAGGACAUAUACACAUUGAGUGAUCUGAGAGAAUCAAAUGAGGAGCUAAGCAAGGUUUUGUUUUGAAAACUAAUUGAAAAAUCCCAAGCUACUUGGCAUAAGGAGUUGAGGUGACUUGAUUCAAGACCAUUACAUUCCUCAACUACCCAAGAUGGCAUGAUAGACACUCCAAAGUUCACAAGUGCAGGUAUGGUUUGGAAUAUCUUUUAGGCUCGCUUCAUACCUUUGAAAGUUAUGUUUCACCUUAGUCCUUUCUCGUUCACUCAAGGAUAAGCAAAGGCUAAGUGUGGGGGUGUUGUUGAUGGCUCUUAAGUACAAAAUCUGCGCCAUCAACUCUUGCAUAAACACAUAAAAUAUGAGCAUCAACAAUAGUGGUAGGAGUUAUUACAAACGAAUUCCACAAGUCUUGGUGAAUAUUUGUAUGCAAGCCCAAUAGGAGAGAAAAGACACCUCAAAAGCAAGGAAACACACUCUCAACCAAUCAAGAGCAAGCACAUGGAACCAUGGGCCCACAACCAAAAGGAAAUCGACUACAUUCCAAACACCCUAUACCCACAUGAGAACCCAUAGGGCAGUGACCCAGAGCAAAGGUGAUGCCAGAGUGUAGAUGGUAGUUAGCAUGCCAAAUUUUGAACCGCAAGCGCUCGGAUUAGUUGUUUCUUUUCCCUUAGAGAUUCCCCCAAGGUUUAUCAAUCCAUGGAACAAGGGAUUUGCACGUUUCACUAAGCACUAAUCAAUGUAAUUGAAAGCUUUUCGAAUAAGAUAUGAUUAUGCUAACAAAGGAACUAAGCAAUCUAGAUUAAGAUGGAUAGAGAGUACAGGUUGUGAACAAGAUAGAUUAAACGCUUGUAGAUGCAAUCACCAUGCAUGAAUGAAUUAGAUCUAGGUGUUAUUGUGAGUGGUUGUGAACCAUGCCCAACACUUUCCCACCCGCAACAUUGUCACUACAUGUGGGUACUCAACUAUCGGAACAUAAGAACACAUCAAGAUGAUCAUUCUAGGUAAGCAAAUAAGCAACCCAAAGUAGCGCUGGCCAGCCUUUUCAUGAAAGAGCAUCAUCAAGAUAAGAUUGAUAACAAAAUAGAUCUCAACCAAAGGUUCAGCGAUUACAAAUCAAGAUCUUCGUAUAACCCCGAUGACAAAUAGAGGUAUUACCCCCAUGAUCUUACACAUGUUGAUGAAUUUUAGGGUAAAGGACACCCUGUAGAUCAACUGGACCAAAGAUGAUGAUGAACGGGGGCAGGGAAGGCCCAGGUUGAUCAGCCUGCGCACUUUUGAGCCGAUCAGCUCAGGGGGUUUCCUCCUCCCCUGGUGCUCCUCUUCGCGUGGCCUCCUCUGGAUCCAAUCUUCUCUUCAUUUCUCCUACUUGUGGCGGCAAUGGAUGGUGUUUGCAUGGUGAUUUCCUCUUCUCCCCAACUCUCCCUCCUUGAAGUCCAUGAGGGGGUAUUAAUAGUCUCCAAUAGGCGGCAGCUCUGGGUCAAUGUCAGUGAAAAAAUCCUAGAGAUCAUCGUACACUUCAUGCUGAGGAAACAAGAGGUUGACCGAGCCCUGGGAUAGACCAAGAGGAUCAUCCUAGAGGGUCCCAGGCUAAUCGGUCUAGGCCCUUCCUAGCCCUUCUAGUCCUCUCCUUCCUCGUGCUGGCUUUUCUCGAUGACCCUUGUCCAAAUAUCCAUGAAGCUCUAUAUACAUACCCCCUUGAUUAUGUUGUAUUUCCUGUCAAAAUACAAUGCUCCAAAAUACAACACAUAUGCAAUAAUAGGGUUAUUUCAGGUGCCAAUUGGUGGGUUAGUAUACGAAUAAGCAUGAAAAUACUGUUUAAAUGACACUAAAAGUGUGUCAAUAACGAGCACCAACAAUCCCCCCACGCUUAGAUCUUGCUCGUCCUCGAGCAAGUCUAGCGACUAAAAGAUCUUGAAUUAAACCUGAGCAAGCGAGUCAAGUACCUAGCCUUGAAACAAAAGAUUAGAGGAGCAGCAAAGAUAAUCAAAGUCUGGGUGUUCAAAGAUUUAUCUAAGCAAAGAUUCCCCUACAACUAUUAUUCAGAACCAAGUAACUUCAAAAAUCAACUACACUUAUUUUCUGGCUUUUUUCAGAGGGUUUUUCUUUCAUCAUAAAACAAUCUCCCUGCAACAAAAUUGAAAAAAGAAUUAUUUUCAAGGUGCUUACAUGUCGCUUAAAUGAAUGUUGGCUAUCCUACUUAUUUGCAAGCUCUCAUCUCUCAAAAUUCAUUCAAUUAUAUGGUGGAGUUUGGGUAAGGUUAGCUAGAAUCAACACGUAUAUUAUUGAAUUAAGAAAACCCUCUAACGGUGGCCUACCUUCCGAGCCAUUGAUCAUAAGAAUAUCCACAUAAUGUGAAGUUUUCAAGGAUGAGAAGAUAUAGAAUGGUGGACAUGUGCAAAGGCAAAGAAAUAUAGUGACUCUGAGGCACAAGCAAUGUCCUCGUCGUUGGAUUGCAUAUGGUUGUAAUGAAAAUAUGUUCCUUAAACAAGUCUAUCUUUUCUUUGCACCACUCUUGAUCUUCAUGACAGUAAAAACUCCUCCUUUAUUUCUUUCUCUCUUUUCCUAUUAUUUCUUUUUAUUUGUCUCAAUACUUUUAUUUCUUUAUUUCUUUAUUUUAAUCUCUUCUCUGAACCUCUUCUGAACACCACAUAAUAAAAAUAAGUUUUAGAUCCUUCCAGAGACCUUCCAGGAAUUUGCUACAUGAAAACCGAGGCAAGGAGACCCCAGGCCGAUUGGCCUAGCCACUCCUUUGCUCUCCUCUAGCUCUUCUUUCUGGUGAAGCUUCCUUAUCUUGUAUCUUUCCAAAAAUUUCAUAAAGCUCGACUAGAAACGGAACAGAUCUUCAUAUAAUGAGUUGUGUUCAAGGAAUUGGUAAUAAAAUUGAGAAAUUUGUGGUUCGGGUUUACGAAUUCAGUACAAAAAUAUGAUUGUUCCAAUGAAGAACUCUCAUUACUGAAUAUUGACGAGGCAAGCAUUCAAAGAUGGUAAAAAGGAUAUGAUCAAUUCUCAAAAUUAAAGCAAACCAAGAGAGAGCGAUCCUAAUUCAAUUCAAAGUGUCAAAUGUUGCUUAUGGUGGUAUGAAUAAAUAUUUUUAGGCAUUGGGUAGGAUAAAUAAAAACUCUCAACCUGGUUAAAAGAUAUUGAUCAAUCUUGUUUUUGCAGAGGUUUUAAAUAAAAAAUAAAAUUUUAAAUCACCUCCAAUUCAAAGCCUUACUCAUAAAUCAUAAUCAAAACUGAAGCACUUGAUCAUCAUAAAGCAUGGGUAUUGCAUAAACAAAUCGAUUACUAAAACUCCACAACUACGAUUUAGAAUUCAAGACAAUGCUCAUAAUCUAAAGUUGCAAAGAUAAAAUAAAAGACAACCAAGCCAAGGUAGACACUAAAAACACUUGCACGAUCCUUGAAUUUUAUUCAUGCUUCUUCUCACAAAGACGCUAAAGUAGCCAUGUAGGCCUAAGUCUUCCCAAAAGCUUAAGAAAACUACUACUUUAUCUACUUUUGGUUGAAAUAAAAAGACUAAUCUAGACUCUCACAUGAUUCGACUCGACCAAAUUAGAUCCAAAAACUCAUACGAGCGACGAUCUCCCCCCCCUCACGCUUAAAAUCUACGACCUCCUCGUCGUAGCCAUAUGGAGUACAAGGAAAAGAAGCUUGUAAACGCUCUAAUGACGCUACCCGCACUACUUGCACACGGGAUGGUUGCUGCUUCCUUCGCUUUGUUCUUCCUCAUGUUGCUGCACAUCCCGAAGAGCUUCCUCACGUUCCUCUGCAAGAACUUGAACUCGUCCUCCUGACGGCGAUCAUUAUCUUCUGCCUUUUGAUCCAGAGCUUGUAAGGCUUGCAUGAUGUCAUCGAACGCAUCGAAGAGGUAGUGGAUGUUCUUCCUGCAAGCUGUGGAACAUGUACGAUCAUGCUCCUCCGAUUCUGGCCCGUCGUCUUCUAGAUCCUUCUCUUUGCCCUUGUCUUGACGGUGGCUAUCUUGCUCCUUGCUCGCCUUCUUGCCUUCAGCCCAAUCCCAGUACGUGUUGUCAUCUUCUUCAUCGUCACGGCCUGCAGCACCCUAUGAUCCAUUGUCUAUCUUGUAUGAAAGAAUCAGAAGCUUGUUCUCCUCAGGGUGUCUUGCGCGGUGCAGCGUUUGCAAGUGCAAGACUUGCUAGUUCCUUUUACACAUUGUAAUGUUCAUUGCAUGCUCUAAUUGUUCUACAUUUGUAAUUUCUUGGUGAAGUUUGGUUACUGAUCCACUGUUUGAUUAACUCUUGGGCCCAAACACUGUACUACUUCUGAUUAGAUAUCUGUAUCUUGACUUUGACCAAAAAAAAUAUCCGGCAGUUUUUGCCAUUAAAGUUUCAUAAAUCAUCUUGCAAAAAUCGUACUAUACAACAAGGGACGGUUUAUUAUAAAAUAUACGUUCCCCUUAUCACAUGCCACUUCCACUCAAAAGGCAACGAAUCAGUUUUCAAUCCUGAGUGAGCAAUUUGCUUUUAUUACCGAUGCCUCCUAUUCCCUUGUGCACCAAGUUUAUUUUGGAUAGGGCUGCAAAAAACGACUAACCAGCUCGGAUUCUCCACCUGCAAAACCGCAUCUGCAGCAACCAACCCCACGCGGUGGAAAAAAAAACAAAACCUAGAAACCGGACGGGGGUGGAUGUGGGGCUCGGAGCCCAAGCAAAAAACGGAUCGGGAGCGCCGGAGCAGGCCAUCACCGGAUGUUAGAGAUAGAAAAUGGUUGAAGUUUGGAGUGGAAAUCAAACAAGCCUUGGAGCAAAGGAAAAAAAAAGAUCAAACCACUCAAGCAUUCAUUUGAUUUAGAAAAGAGAACAUUUGUUAAGGUGGGGAGUUGAAAUCAUCUUUUAAUUAGUUCCACGUAUCUGGUAUCAUUACAGUUGGUUUACUUGUGUAAGUAUAAGUAGCUCUGCCGAAGCCUUUGCUCCUAUAAUUUAGUAACUAGUACAAAUGGAUCAAUAGGAAAAUCAAGUUGCAAUCAUUUCUCAGCCAACCAAACCUAUGUAAAUCAAAUUAUUGUCCAUGCCCGGCAUGCACAGGUGCCUGCCAUGCAUGCAUUGUUGCUCCAUUGUAAUAACCAUUAUUGUCCAUCGAUGUUGCAGCGCAUGUGUGCACUGUGCAGACACCAAGCAUCGAGAUUAUGUACUAGUAAGGUGUUGAAAUAAUGGGCCUAGCCCAUAAGUAAUUUCAGAAUUUCAAAUAAAUCUCAAAGGCCCAUGUGGGCAAGAGGUGGAGUGGUGCAAGUCUUUAGUCCCACAUUGCUAGUCGAGGGGAGGGAUGACCAACUUAAAUAUGGAAGUUGUCUCCACUCCUCCAAGCUAUGUGUGAAGGGCGCGGGCGCGAGGCACUUGCGUGAAUGGUCCGCCGAAAUCUGGCCCCCCUUGCGGGGGCGCGGCUUCCUUUUGCCGUUUUAUUUUUUGGUUACUUGGUCGUUAAGUCAUGGAAUCCUAACCGGUUUAGAUCACGAUCGUGAAGGUUUUUGGGAAGCGCUCUGCGCGACUGCUCGAUCGCUUCUUCCGCUUCGUCAAGUUCUUCGUCGACUCCUUCACCACGGCUCGUCUACCUCUUCGUCGCUCGGGCCUCACUCGUCGUCGCGAACAACGUCAGGCUGCUGAUCGUCGUCGCCUGCUGUAUCCGGUAGUCGUCCAGGAGCCGGUUUUCAUCAAGAAAGAAACGUACGGUCUCUUAACUCACAUUAUGUCUUCCAUACUAGCUAUUAUGAUUGUUGCAGUCUGAUAGCUCUGGAUAGUAUGGUAGAAUGUCUGAUUCUAUUUGCAAUGAUAGACUUGUCUAGAUCUUGCGUAGACAUGUCUAGUUUAAUCUGCUGCUUGUUCAUCAUAUUCAUGAUUUAUUUCUGGAUUAAGUUAAAACUAAAAGUGCUUAUAUAUCCAACAUAAGGUACCAAGAACACGUGAAGCACCCGGGGGAGGCUGCUCCACUCCGCAUGCACAGGUGGGCACGGCACCACUACUCGUCUCCUUCAGGCUGAGGAUAAGUGAUGUACGCUGAUCAACAGACCACGACGGAACCAGCAAUAAUAGUUUCAGCCUGCCUCACAGUAAUUAAUAUAUCCUGUAUCCUCCGAGGACCCCUCCCCUUAAUCUUGGCCUAUUGCAUCCAAUAAUGAUAUGUGUGUUUAUCCAAAUUUACGGCACCUUUGGCGGGGGUUCCACCCAGCUCCGCCCUCUCCACCUUCGGUACUCCAUGGGAAACCAUUCCUUUGGAAUCAAGGAAGCUUGAACAGUAUAACGAAUAAAGUUUCAUAUAUCCAUUUGAUUUCACAUGAAAUAAAAUAUUCUGUCAGAACCAAUGGUUUCACUGAAGCUCCAGGCAGCGAGCGAAGGGGUGAGAGAGGAUAACGCUUACUGUGUGUUACCAUCGCGUGCACCAUGGAUGACCAACGCGCAGCCGAGAUGAAACGGCGGACCUAAACAGGUCCUCGCUAUUUUUGCAGGUUCUCGACCAGGCCAGUUCUUUAGGCCAACCUAUCAUUCACGAGUUAAACAUACGGUGGCUGGAGAAAUGUUCUAUUCUUUUAAACAAUACCAGCUGGUUCCUCCGUUUUUAUUCCACCAAUACAAGCACCACCUUGUAACAUUUCCUAUGUUUUUUUUCCUUUCGUCUGUUUUCUCACUACAUGCGUUGCUCUUUCAUGCAUUUUUUUCCAUUCCUGUAUUCCAAAUAGGUCUACAUGAACACAAAAUGAACUAGGGGACAGAAAAAGCCAGUGAAGUUAGUUUUGAGCUUCACCAGCUACUUGCUACAUAAAGUGUGCUAUAGUCGCAGAAAAGCUAAGCUGGAUCAGACGUGGCCGAAACAAUGCCAAAGAGCUAGGUCCCUAGCUGAUGGCAACACAUCAGAUGACUAGCCUGCUUUUCUGUAAUAAUGAUAUUGAGCAAUACACUGCAUGGCUAACCUGCUUUACAAUAAUUGUCAUUUUAUAAUAUUGGUCAUCACGAGAGAUGCACAUUGCAUACACCGGCCCAUCCCUAUAAAUAGCCAAGCCUUUCAGCCAUCUUGGGCACCUCCUCUCAGGGCCUCGUCUCACCAUCAGACAUCUCGUUCCCAGUUAUAAUUUGCGAGGUUAGAUCAGGCUGCGCCAUGGCGUCCGCAACUGCUGUCAAGAUCGUCGCCACCUUCAUGCUGGUGCUGACCAUGGGCCACCUGAUGGCCGAAGCAUCACCGCAGCCUCGGCGUGUGCUUGCAGAAACGGAGCAUGCUGCGGUGUCCGGGAAUCCUGGCCUCCCAGGUGAUGCUAGCGUCAUGCAGGUCCUCGAACCCGCCCUAGUUUCUCGGCUUGCCUGCAAACCAGAGUGCACAGUCCCUUGGCCUCCUUUUGUAUGUAUCUGCUAGAUCCUCUUCCUGGCUCAACGGAACUUCAGGGAAAUGGCUGUGACGUCGGCCAAAGAAUAAAUUGGAUGAACAUAAUAUACCCCGGGUAGUGUAGCUUGGGCUUUUGUUGAGCGUCUGGUGCUAGUUGUAUUUUGUUUGCUCAUGUGGCUUUGCUUCUGGUUGCAUAUUGGCUUUCCUAUCGCUCUCUGUUGCAGCUAUGGUUUCUGCCAGGUGUGUGUUAAUGCGGUUUGUAAGCGGUGCUUGUUCCUACCUUCUGUUUUCAAUAAAAGAAGUCGGAGUCUCCCUCCGACUCUUGUUAUCAGUCAACAAAAAUGAGUUGUAUCAUAUAUAUCUGCGUCUUUUUUCUACGUAUCUUUGGGCUGCUUCAGCUGGAAGUUUAUCGUAAGUACGUGUAUCAGGAUGAUCGUUUGAAUUAAAACGAAAUGAUAAUGUGUGGCUGCUAGAAAUGGAAUGAGCAUCUUACUAUAUUACUAAUUGGAAGCCUCCACGUGAAGCCACCUAGAAAUUCUAGGUGGACGUUUUAAAAAAAACAAAACUCAUAGAAGCCUCCACCACCUAGGAAUCCUAGGUGGACACUCUAAAAAGAGACAAAUCCUAGAAAUUCUAAAAAAAGAAAAAAAUAAUAACAAUAAGAUUUUUUUGCAGUCAAUUACAUAUAUUUUUUUGAGACACCGUGCUGCUAGCUCUUGCCAUUGCGACCAGUAAAGCAAGCAGAUAGUAAGAUGACAUGCGUGUGGAUUGAUUAAAACAAAUUCAGUUAGUUGAUUCUAAAUCGUAUGUAUCCUAAAAGGAAGAUAUGUGCGUGCAUGGUCCCUAGCGAUGACAUGUAGACAUGUAUUGCAAUUUCUUUUUUAAAAAACAUGUCUAUCUCUAAACCAACAAACAGAAAAAAUAUCAAUCUAAAUCUAAAUCUCUUCCGUUCUCACACGCCUAUUAAAGAGAAGACAACCAAUCCCAUCCAUGUUCCAUAGAAUCCAUCUAAAAGCUUGCUCACUGCGGACGGCAUUUGACGGCAAAUCAAUGAAAGAUCAUCCUCUCCAAAUAGCUGGACGGCAUCACCAUCUUUAUCUCACCAACCUACAGAGCUACAACGAUGUUGUAGAGAUCAACUAGGUAACCUACCAAUCACCCUCCCCUUUUCUAUAUGCUCUAAAGAACACGUGGAGUAAUUAUAGGCCUAUAGGAGCCGACUAACCUAGAUUAAUAUGAAAAAUAUUCCAAUAUUAAAAGCAAGCAGAUAGUAAUACUUGCCUUUGACCAUUUUUCUAGAACUGUUAUUCCUAUUGAAUGUUCAAGUGCUACGGCCAGGCAUCGAAUGCCUGCACGGAACCUUCCUAUUGAAUGGUUACUCUAGAGAUCAACGCACCGCGAGACAUUUUUAUGGAAUUUGUUUGAUUCCCCUUCUACAAUUAGAUUAAUUUUUCAUGGCAUAUAUUACUACUAUUAAAUUAUUUGUUUAUUGUCGGGCCUGCUGCAUGUGUGGUAUAUAUGACUUGCUUCUCACCAUUGUUCUCAAACUAUUAUUCCUAUCGAAUCUUUCUAUCGAAAUAUAUUUUAAUUACUUGAUUGUUGUUUGUGUACCAUAACUUCUGUAUAGAAAAAUUCCAUGUUUGUAGAUAAUGUCUUUUGUAUAGAAAAAUAGCCCAAUUAGAUCCAUCACCAUCUUUUGCUUAUGUAGUUGAACAAGUUGCAAUGUUGAACAAAACUUUAAGUGAAAUUAGACCAGGAAAAGGAAUUGUGGAACAUUAAGGCAAGGGUAACCAGAUUGUGGAAUGCAACCUUACUCAGUAGUGGCGAACAAUUAAGUCUUGACAUGAUCCUUAUUGAUCAAAAGGUAUGAUAGAUGUUCACUUUGAUUGCAUUAUUGGUAUAAUUUUUGGUUUACAAAUUAUUAAUGAUGAUGCAAAAUUAGGGAACCAUGAUCCACGGUGUUAUCAAUAAGCCCUAUAUGAAAAAGUUCAAACCAUUGAUUGAAGAAGGCAAUGUGUACAUAAUUGCAAAUGUCAGAAUCACACCAGAACCACAGAAGUAUCGGCCAGUGGAAAAUGACAGGAUAGUCAACUUCUUACCCACAACUGCACUAAAAACGAUCAAAGAUACUGAAGACAUUCCAAAGUAUAGUUUUAACUUCAUGAGCACGGAUAUGCUUUCAGCAAGAAUAAAUGUGGACAUGUACCUAUUAGGUAAAACAUUACUGGCUUUUCAAUUUUUACACUUCCACUCAUUAAAUGACCAUCUAAUAAUAAUACAUAUUUAUGUUUCAUAGAUGUUAUAGGUAUCUCAGCUCACAUUGGACCGAUAGAAGAAACAAGGACAAACUUCGGAUUUACUAAAAUCCGUGAUAUUGUGCUCCUGAUCGAGUAAUUCUCUUUUCUUUUGUAGAAAACAACUACAAAACUUUCAACAUUUACAUGUAUGUUAUAGAACUUCUGUUGAACUAAAAAAUAUCUUCUACAGUGCCCCUACAAAUAAUUAAUUUCGUAGUUGGAUAUUUAAAAUAUUUAUUAUUCACUUUUAAAUUUGUGGCCAUGAAGUUAAAGUUAGAUUUUGGGGAGACAAAGUUGAGGAAGUUGAUGAUAAGACAAAAUCCCAUGUCAUUGCAAUAACAUCUACAACUGUGAGUAAAUUUGGCAGUAAGUCUUCAUUCAAUAUGAGUUAUUCAAUAUUAGUCAUUCAACAAACUAACCUCGUAAGAAAAAUAAAUAAUUGAUGUUUUAUCAGGGUAUUCUCUAUCGUCAACCAAUGCAACAAAACUUUAUGUAGAUCUACCUAUUCCUGAAACUAAGGAUGCACAUGAUAGGUGAGAAAAAUUAGAUAUUGUUUUUCUAUUUUAAUCUAUGUAGCAUGCACUCUAACAUGAUACAUUCUUUCAUAUGAUAAAAAAAUGUUAGUUCAAUUGAAAAUAUUGUCAAAGAGAUUCAUAUUGAGGACCAUCUAAAAGGGACAUUGGAAGACCAAAUGCAGUACAAUAGAAGAACUUUAGAAGAAUUAAAUUUCAUAUUAUUUGAAACAUCAAAUCAGGUAUGGAUUAGUAUGUUCAUUGUACACUAUACUAUUUAAAGACUUACAUACAUAAUGAUGGUAUUGUUCCUACUUUCAGGAUGAGGUAUUUACUAUUGAAGCAACAAUAAAUGAAAUUAAUGCAACAUAUGGUUGGUUGUCACACCCGAUUUUAAGGACAAAAUUGAGUGCAUUAAAUACAUGUGCACCAGGAUCAAGUUACACACAUCCUAUGAGUACCGUCCUUCUUUGGCACAAAGAUAACCGGUGCUCCCCAUGGUGAUGAACUAGGCCGAAUAAACUAUUUUGCUGAUAAUUCCUCUAGUUGUUGUUUCAAUUCUUUUAAUUGUUCAACCAACAUUCUAUAAGGACGUUUGGAGAUAGGUGCAGUACCAGGUAAAAGAUCAAUAGCAAAUUCAAUGUCGCGGUCAGGUGGCAUACCUGGUAAAUCGUCGGGGAACACAUCCGGAUAGUCACACACCACUUUGAUAUCUUCCAAGGAUUUUCCAGCCAACUGAUUAACUGCACAAUCUGCUGCUGAGGGUAGAGUAGCUACAAACUCCACUUUCUCUCCAUCAGGACCUGUUAGCAGAACUGUCCUCUUGGCACACUGAAUCGUUGCAUCAAAAGCGGCUAACCACCUCAUCCCCAGAAUUACAUCGAUUCCACUGGACUCAAGGACGAUAAGAUCAGCCGGAAACUCUAUACCCAUUAUUCUCAGUUUAACUUGUGGACAGAUGUAUUGAGCCUUCAUUGACCCCCCAGGUGAACUCACUAGCAUAUGACGCCUCAUGGUAUGCAUGGGUAAAUUAUGCUUUGCUACAUAAUGACUAGUGACAAAAGAAUGCGAUGCUCCAGAGUCAAAUAAAACUGAUGCGGGGGCAGAGUUGACAAAGAACAUACCAAGCACUACAUCUGGAGCCUCCUUAGCAGUCUCGGCUUCCAUGUGGUUCACCUUGCCACAAACAAAGCUUUGCUGCCCCUGAUUGCCUUGUGGGGUCUGGUUCCCAUUCCUCGGUUGCUGCAUCUGAUUCUGCCGAGGAGCACUGCUGUUCUGCACGGGGGUAGCUGGCCCACCUCUCUUAGGACAAGAGCUGGCAUAGUGACCAACCUCGCCACACUUGAAGCAGGUAGGACCCACUGGAGCAUUGGGCCUUGUUGGAGUGCCAGUAGGGGUCAUCUGGCGGUUCUGCGUAAAGCUUGGGCGCGGAGUCUGCAUAGUCUGCAUCCCUGGAUGCUGGAACUGAGGGCUAGGGCGCUGGAAUGACUGCUGAGCAGGGCGCGGAAAUGAGUGCUGCCAAAAAUUCCCACUCGGGCCCCCUGCGCGGAACGGCGUCCCUUGCUGUGGAGCAAAGCGAGGGCGGGUGUUGCUUCCUGAAGACUACUGGGAAUUGAAUUUCCUCUUCAUCUCCCCGAGCUCGUUCCUCUUGUGUUCCAGGCCAAUUGCCUUGUCUAGCAUCUUCUGGAAACUGGGGAAGGUGUGCGACAUAAGCUGAUAUUGGAGUGGUCCAAUCAACCCAUCCAAGAAUAGCUCCUGCUUCUGCUCAUCAUCAGCAACAUCUUCGGGAGCAUAUCGGGACAACUGGACAAACUUGUCCCUGUACUCUGCCACUGUCAUGUUCCCCUGCUUGAGAGCAAGGAACUCCUUCUUCUUAAGCUUCAUCAAUCCGGAAGGAAUAUGAUGACUUCUGAAGCUAGUCCUGAAUUCAUCCCAGGUGAUGCCAUUAGCAUUGGCAUGGGUGGUGGUGUAAGCAUCCCACCAAUCAGCAGCUGGCCCUUCCAGGCGUCCUGAAGCAUACAGGACCUUCUCCCUGUCAGUACAUUGGGCGAUAUCCAGCAUCUUCUCCACUGUUUUCAGCCAAUCAUCAGCAUCUAAUGGAUCCGGAGAAUGUGAAAACGUCGGGGGCUUGUGGCUCAUGAACUCCCUAUGCCUGUCCCUUGGCGGCGGCUGCUGCUGGUUGUUGUUGUUGUUAUUGUUCAGCUGAGCUUGUAAAGCUGCCACGGUGUUGGUCAGUCCGGCGAGAAGCUGAGUCUGAGCUGCUAGAAACUGCUCCAUCCCUGCAGGUGCUUGUUGGUUCUGUUGCGGAGCGGUGUUGGGAUUGCUGCUGUUGUCCCUGUGGCGUGGCACUGUGGGACGGUCAACUCCUGAUCCGGACCUGGUGUUUACCAUCUGAGCGUUAGAGACAAUGGAUUUAGAUAGAUGUGUGAAAGAAUAACUGAGAAAGAUAAAGCGACCAGAUGUAAAAGUAACACAGAUUCUGUUAGCUCCAUUUAAUUAGGUGUGGUCGUCAGAAGAAGUGUCCAUAAAUUCUGAACAAUUACCAAGUCGUAACUUAUUAAAUUUGUAAACCAACCCAACUGGAAUCAUCUCAAUCGGACUUCUGGAUCUCGAGUUACAAAAUUAACAAGCUGACAGUGUCGGUCGAUAGGUUCAGAUUCUGAGUGCUUUACUAAUUCGCAUACACCUCCCAGACAGAUACACCAAAAAUUCUGAAAAAUUUACAGAUAGUACUCCACGAAAUUCUGAAACUAACCCCACUGGUUUCAUGUCAUUUGGACUUCUGUAGCUAGAGAUAUAAAUAAAAAAGUACUGGCGUGUCAGUUAAUGUCGAGAACAGAAUUGAAUGUCGCUUAGCUUGCGUGAUGGAUAGAUUUAGACAGAUGGUAGAUCAUGAUUAAGGAAGAUUAAAUACUGAUUUAGAACAGAAAUAAAACCCAACUAAGCACUUUAUUUAUUAAGACCAGUAUCGUGUGGCAAUUGCCCCACAUACCGCACUCAUUACAAAAUCCAACUCAAACAUGUAGCACAAAACCAAUCAUCUAAGCACACUUUAACUAACACACUCGAACGACGUCUAACGAUUACAAGAAUUUAAACUAAAACACUCCUAAUUUCCUAGAGGUCUUCUGCGGCGGUGCCGGGCGAGUCGUAGCGGGGACGCUUAGGCGACGGCGACGAAGCGGGAUGAACAGCAAACUCCUGCGGCGGCGGUGCUCCCGUCGCGGCAGCCAUAUUCGCAUCCCUCUCCCACCGGAGUUCCUGAACCUCCUGUUGAAGCUCCUGGAUGUGGUUGUUUGCUUCAUUCAAUGCGGUGAGAGCUGCCGACGUGUACUUGCGGAGGAAGUCUGUAGCCAUGUCAACCCCAUCGUUAGUAGCGAUGAAGGUUCUUGCUUCCCCACUAGCUCGGUAAGGAAGGAACCGAUGGUAAGUGUGCUGCAAUCGCGGCCGUUCCUUGUGGGAGACGACCUCAAGUGCCCUCCUGGCGGCCUCGGCAAUGCCGGAUUCCAUGGUCCUCCUUAUGGUCACAUCAUGGUGAAAAGCCUUCACCUCCCAUCCUCCCUCGUGCUCCUCACGAAGGACAACCUUCACCUCCCAAAAAGUGGGAUAGCGAGGGUGGGUGAACCGGGAGCACUUGUAGAGUGGCCUCAUGCCGUACCCCAAGCGGUGACAAGUCCACCUGAGUAUGUCGGCCAUGUGCACUCCUUGGCCAUAAUCUUCCUUCACCCAUUUGAUCCAUGUCUCGGGCUCGGGAUCUGCUUCGGGCUCAUCAUCCGUCAAGUCGACGACCGGUACGGGCGUCGGGGCUGGUGCAGGAGCGGGCGCCGGUGCUGGCGACGGUGCUGGUGACGGCGUGGUCUCCUGCUCCACGGUCACGGCGUCCCCGUCAGAGUCAUCCCCCGGAUGCUGGAAGAUCUCUUCCUCUUCUUCCUCGUCCCAAGGCUCCAUGGGGGCGUACGACGGCGCGAUGCCAUGACGCGGCGGACGGGUGCUCUUGCGUGCGGUCAACCGGGUGCGAGCCAUCUAACAGAAAGAAAGAAGAAAAUUUUAGAAUAAAAUUUUGAACAAAGCUAGAUAAUAAAAUAGCAAUAAGGAUGAGACAAAUCAAGUUUAAGAAUAAUUAAGUAGAUUUAAAUUAAGAAAGGUAGGAAUGGCUACUAGAUUAUUAUAAUCCUUAAAUACGACCAUUUUCUAACUAGGCUAACGUCCUACAGUCAACACGGCUCUGGUACCACUUUUGUCACACCCGAUUUUAAGGACAAAAUCGAGUGCAUUAAAUACAUGUGCGCCAGGAUCAAGUUACACACAUGUACGACAAUAGUGAAUAGUAAAGCCAGUGCUAAAUCGAAUAAAGAGAGUAUUAACCAUUAUUACAUGACCGAAUGUCUCAAAUAAACCACAAAGUCUAAUUAUUACGCAGCGGAACUCCAAAGAUGACGACGACUCCAUAGGCAGCUGACUGAAGAAACGUACGCCUAGAACUCCUCGAAGUCGUGGAAGUACUCCUCUUCCCAAUUAACUUGGUCUGAACAGCGGUUUUGCAAGGGUGAGUACACUUAUGGUUGGUACUCAACAAGUCGUGGGAAGUAGUGUAGUGUAAGGCUAAUUCAAGGUAUGGCUAAGGCGUAAAUAGCAUUCGCUUUUAAUUAAGUUGGUCAAAUUUUAUUAGCAUUUACUAAGUAUAAGUUCAUACCACCCGAAAUUAAACAUGAACAUAAAGUAAACCACAUGUGCAUGAAAUGAUAACAAAUUAAAUCCAUCUUCCGAUAAUAUUAUCAUGUGAGGGUCCAGGCCGCUCUUAACCGUGAGCACGGCUGAUUGAUCAGUUUAACACUCUGCAGAGGUGGCACAUCUUUACCCACAAGUCGCGUAAAAGUUCAAAAGAACUUUGGACCCAACCAUGCGGUGUUUGCAAGGCACCAUACCACACUUCCGAGGUGUGAUUGCAUAGGGACGCUACGAGGCCUUUACAAAGAUUCAUUAAUCAGUGGUAACCCGCUAAGGUUUCGGUGUCUGGCGUGCACCACCCAUCCCAGGUAAAAUGCAACGACUCAGUCCCCCCCCUUGAAUCAUCACGAGUAAGGUCACCCCAGACUAAGGUUUCUAAUUAAUCAGCCAAGACCAGAGCUAUUUAGUCUUGUGGUAGCACUGUUUUCCUGGGUGGUCGCUCCAUGUUCUGAUUAACAAAUAAUGAUCUUGUCUUAAUGAAAGGUAUAACAGAAAUAAGGCAAGAUUAAGCAUUGUUUUUAGUUAAACCACCAUGUACCAAGUAAGCACUAAGCAUGAGCUACCCAACAUAAAGUAAACCGGUUGGUCAAGGCAAAGGUAAAACAAUCUAGGCCAACCUUAAUUGGGACCCAUCAAUUUAAUCUUAAUAUGUGCACAGCAUAAAUGUUGAGUACGAGAAAGUAAAGGUGUAUAGGACAAAAAGGUAGUGAUCAAGGACACGACUUGCCUUCUUGGCCUUGCUCCUGCUGUUCGUACUCCUCGAAGGCUUGAUCGGCAACUCCCUCGAACUGCGGGGCGUCUACACGCAUCACACGAGCACAUACAAGCAAACAUGGGCAAAAGUAAGAAAACAGUAUACCAAACAUAGUCAAACAGAGAAAACAAGCUUGAAAAGAUGAUCUACGCUUUAAAACGAACACGCGGAUAUAAAGAACGCGAAAAACGGAGUUAAGAUGCAAAAGAUAUGAUUAAAACAAAAUCCAGGGACUUUUCUGUAAGAAAAACAAAACUUUUAGGGCCUAUCCGCGAAAACCGAGGGCUUAUACGUAAUUAUGCGUAUAAACCGAGGGUCUGAUGCGUAAAAACAUCAAACCCGGACGGCGGGUUGAUUUCUGGAAAGGUCAAGGGUUAAACCGAAAAAUGCGAGGGCAGAUCUGUAAAUACUUUCAACGCGAUCUGGACCGCGGGUUGAUUUGCGAAAAAGGCGGGGGCUAAAGUGCAAAAACUGCACGGCGCGGCUCGGUUGACCGGUACGCGAUCUUGAUUGACUCGCGUCCGGCCGUCGGAUUAAGAUCCGACGGUCGCGGUGAUCCGCGACAUCGCGGCGGCGGCGGCGAGCGGCGGCGAGCGGCGGCAAGCGGCGGCGGGUCGCCGGAGUUAGGCAAAAUAGCGCCACGAGGCACGGUUUAACGCGCGGGUUGCACCAAAAAAGAGAGGGGAACACGUCGAUCCCGUUUUGGGGGUUCUUGUCGACGGGGGCUCACCGGCGACGGCGAACGGCGGCGAGGAAGAGGCGGCGGCGCUAGGAGCUCGGGCGGCUAGGGUUUCGGGGAGCUGCGGCGCUGGUUUUGGGCGGAGGAGACUGGGAGGAGGCGGCGGCUUUUAUAGGGCUUGGAGAUAGAGCCGGCGCGGGUUCAAAUCCCCCGGAGGAGUCGGAGCGGAUGGAGUCCGGGGCGGAGACGGCGCGCGGCGGUUGCGGAGUUCUGACCGGAUUCGGCCGGAGGUGGGAGACGAUGGGUGGGGUCCACCCGUCAGUGGCGGAGGGGAGCGGUAGACGGGCCGGCGCGACCGUGGGCUGGCGCGCGCUCGUGGGCUGCGGGGAGCGGGAGAGAAGCGGCGAGCGGGCGCUGGCGGAGCAGGCCGAGCGGAGGUAGAGCUGGGCCGCGGAGAAAAAGGAGGAGGCCGGCGGGCUGCUUCGCAGGCCGGUAAGGAUGAGGCGGCCGGGCCGAAGAAGAAAAAGAAAAGGAGGGACAAGGAGCUUUCGGCCGAGGGAAAAGAAGAAGAAAAAGAAAAGGAAGAAGAAAAGGGAAAAGGUUUUGGAAUUUGAAUUUAAAUCUGAAAUUCAAAAUUUGAUUCAAACUCAAGCAACCAAAAAUUAUGCUCCAGCAUGAAUGCACAAAUAAUUCCUAUGAUGAAUUAAUUGAAUUAAAGAAAAUGAAUUUAAAUGCCUAGAAAUUAAAUAACACCCUAAUUUGAGCAAAUUUUAAUGAAUUUGAAUUAUUGAAAUUUUGGGUGUUACAUUGGUACUACAUCUCAUGUAGUAGAGGCGAUUGUAAGAAGCAACUUGAAAAGAAGUUUGAUCACUACUAUUGCAAUAAAUGUGACAAGAGAGCCGAACCUAAAGCCCAGUAAAUUAUUUAGUAGUUUACAAUCUUAUUAUAAUACUUCUAUUUCUAAUAGGAGAAUAAUAUUUUCAGAUUCAAAUUAAGCUUCAAAUAAGUGAUCCAACAACAAGUGCAACUUGUGUACUUUUGACAAGGAAGCAGAAAUGAUAAUUAAUGAAUGAGCAGAUUCGAUGAUCACCUCAGUUGAUCAUGAUAAUAAGUAGCUACCAAAAUCAAUUCAGGAAAUAUGUGAAGAAACAUUGAUUUCUCAAUUCAGAUUGACCGAGUACAACUUGACAAGUUUUAGACCUGAUUAUACUGUUUCAAAGAUAUUUUUUCCAAAAGAAAAGGGCAGUUCAAGAAUUGGUAUGGAAAGUGUAAAAAAGGUAACACUUUAUUAUUAAUUUUUUAUUGCACUUUUUUCUUUUGAAUCCGUAAUACUUAAUAAUUUUACUAUAUCAAUGAAACAAAUUCUAACCUAAAUUUAUUUUCUUUUUUAUUAUUUGUAGGAAGUAGAAGACAACUCAGACAAAUGCUACACGAUAACUACCGAGAAUGAAGAGGUAGACACUGAUGACUCUUUUACCGAGAAAGUAACAUUCGUAGAAGAAGCCAUAAGGACUGGGGAAAGAUUGGCUAGAAAAGUAUACUCACUUCCAUGUCAGUGUUCAUUCUAUUUACAAUACAUGCAAAAAAAAUAUUAUUCAUGCAAAAUUGCAGGUCUACUAAGCAUUAAAGGAAUAGCGGAUAGUGCAAUAUGUAAUCUGAGCAGCAUGCAUUACAAAGUGCUCUACUGCAAUUAAAUUAAAAAACAUGAUAUAUGUUGAAUUCUUAGACUUUAUUAUUAUACUUUUCUACGUGACAAUUCACAAUUUUUUAGAAAAAAGAAGAUCCCAGAAGAAGUGACCAUGAAAAAAGGUCUAUGACCAGCAAUAAGAAAAAAUGCAAGCAUAGAAACAAAUCCGUAGAAAACAUAGAAAAUAAGGUACUCCAUAAACAAAAGUAUUCUCUUAUAUUUUUAUUAAAUAUUUUUUUAACACUUGACAAGUUCUUUUUUAGGAUCAAUAUAUCAGCAAUUCAGAUGUCAUUGGAGAUGAAACCUUAGUUCAUCCAAAAGGUCAAAAAAAAACAUCUGAAGAAAGGUGUUUGGCUGAAAAGGAAAAGCAAAAAAGUGGUAAUGCAGACAAACACAUGCAGAAAAAUAUAAAAACAUGUCAUAGGGAGGCAGACCAAUCUUGCAAGGAGGUAUAGACGAAACGUGAUACACGACCUGCCUACCUUGUCGUGGAUACCCCAAGAAGAUGUCAUAGAGGUGCAGACCAAGCUAGCAAGGAGGUCGAAACGUGAUACACGGCCUGCCUACCUUGCCGUGGAUAUUAGCCCUGAGAUCAUUCUACUGUUCAAGGAAUAACACUCAAUGCUGCUGCUGCUGCUGACCUGGCUCCAUAAAGUUAUACUCCUCUAGGUGCUUGCACUAACUUUAUCUGAAGUAUUAUUCUCUCUGCACUGUAUAUAUGGUUAUGGAGUUUGCUGGAGUAUCCGGGGCGAAGAACCUACAUAAUACGUCUUGGAACUAAUUGACAUUGAUUCACAGACAAACUCUACAAGGUGCUGUUCUUGCCAUUUUAGAGCAUCCAAAGGACUAUAAAUAACAUAGUUUACCAUAUACCAUAUACCAUAUACCAUAAUAUGUUAGCUAAAAUAAGAGCAUACACAUGUUGCAGGAGUCCAAAAGCACCGGUUGAGGACCAGGUACAUUGAAUUACUAGAAAAAGACAGGGGACAAGGUUUAGGUAACCACAUGAAACAUUUGAAUUUAUUGUACUAUGAACACUUAGUUACCAUGCCAGGAGCACAUAGUUAACACUAACAUUUAGCCACUUUAGAUCAUCCCGAAUCACCAAUGACCCUCAAUAGUGACAAAUUUUGGUUUAAAUGCCAUCACCAAUGAUCCUCAAUAGUGACGUAUUUAGGUUUAAAUCCCGUCACUAAUAACCCUCAAUAGUGACCUGUUUUGGUUUAAAUCUCAUUACCACUGAUCCUCAAUAGUGAUGUGUUUUAGCAAAACAUGUUAUCAAUGACUUGUCAUUGGUGACGUGUUAAAACGCGUUAUCUCAAUGGCAAAUCAUUGGUGACGUGUUAUCUCAAUGUUAUCAAUGUUCUAUUCUUUUCAACAAUACCAGCUCGUUCCUCCGUUUUUAUUCCACCAAUACAAGCACCACCUUGUAACAUUUCCUAUGUUUUUUUUCCUUUUGUCUGUUUUCUCACUACAUGCGUUGCUCUUUCAUGCAUUUUUUUCCAUUCCUGUAUUCCAAAUAGGUCUACAUGAACACAAAAUGAACUAGGGGACAGAAAAAGCCAGUGAAGCCAAUUUUGAGCUUCACCAGCUACUUGCUACAUAAAGUGUGCUAUAGUGACGUGUUUUAGCAAAACAUGUUAUCAAUGACUUGUCAUUGGUGACGUGUUAAAACGCGUUAUCUCACUGGCAAAUCAUUGGUGACGUGUUUUAAAAAAACAUGUCACCGUGAGAGUCAUUGGUGAAGGGUAAUUAAAAUGCGUCACUAAUGUUGUAGCAUUAGUUAUGAUAAUUUAGUAACGCAAAAAUCUACCAUCAGUAUUGAGCUUUAGAGCCAUCGCUAAUGUGGGUUUCUUACAUAGUGAUGCAAGCUCUACAAGGUGCUGUUGCUGCCAUUUUAAAGCAUCCCAUGACUACAUGUUAAUAACAUAGUUUACCAUAUAUCAUAAAAAUAUUAGUUACAAUAAGCACAUACGCAUGUGGAAGAGUCCGAAUGCACCGGUUGAGGACUAAACACAUUGAAUUACUAGAACCAAAUGUAUGUUUAGAACAAAGACAGGGGUCAAGGUUUGGGUAACCGCAUUAAAAACAUUGGAUUUUACUGUACAUGAACACUUAGUUACCAUUACCAUGCCUUGAGCACCUAGUUACAACAAACAUUAAUUUAGCCACUUUAGAGCUUCCAGAAUCGCUAUAAAUAAUAUACCUACGCCGUACCAUGAAAACAUCAAGAAGAGAGACGGAUACAUGGACCACCAUCAAGCGAGUAGUGACAGCACGCACAAGAAUACCCGGAACCUGUUAGCUUGUCUGUAGUGAUCUGUUUUCUUCCCCAUAAAAUCCAUGAGUAUUGCCACAAAUAAUGAAAGAGGCUGACCAAGCUAGCAAGGAGGUAGAGCAAACGUGAUACACGGCCUGCCAAGAUUGCCCUGGAUACGCCAAUAAGAGCGACAGAUACAUGGAUCACACCAAUAUGGUGAAACGUAUAUUCAUCACACAAGCAAAGCUGGUCAGUUUAUCCAUGGUCAAAUUGUGGUCUUUGUUUUCACUUGAGAGCUAAUUGAGGCACUAUAAUAUGGGCAGGCCUAUCUUCAACAGACAUGACAGCUACAGGGAACUUGACAUAAUUUGCUGGGCCGCCUGUGCACAAUUAUUUGUUUUAUUGUCCUUGCAUAGAAUGCUAAAAUACUCUUUACAAAAUGUUGGAUCUAAUAUUUGAAAUAUAGAGUAGUAAUCAUAUAUUGAUCAACAACUUGAAAUUAUCUGUACAUUCUCGGUGAAGCUGUUGAACUAAUUUUUGCAAAUUAUUAAUUCAUCUCAUUACGUAAAGAAAAAAGUAAGUGGAUAAGAUAUUUCGUGGACCACAUCACUGCAAACAUGUCAUGGAGAGACAGACCAAGGAGGCAGGACGUGAUACACGACUUACCCUAGGUUGCCGUGGAACCGCCAAGAAGAGAUACAGAUACAUGGACCACACCAUCUUGGGAGUAGUGACAGCAUAUAUGCAGAAGAAUACCCCGUGCCUAUUUGCAUGCAUGUCUCAAGUGAUCUGUUUUCUUCAGAAAAUACAUGAGCAUUGCCAGAAAGAAUGGCAAGAGACAAACAUGUCAUAGAGACUUGCAUGUCUUGCCUUGGAUACGCCAAGAAGAGGGACACAUACAUGGAUAACACAAAUCUAGUGACACGUAUAUUCAUCACAAAGGCAAAUCUGAUAAUUUUAUCCAUGGAGCAGACCAAGGAGAAAUUGAUGACGGACAUGUGAUCUCUGUAUUCAGUUGAAAGCUAAUUGAGCUACACUAAUAUGAGCAGGACUAUAUUCAAGAGACUUGUUGAGAGCUACAGGGAACUUGUAAUAAUUUGCUGGGCGGCCUGCGCACAAUGAUUUGUUAUACAUAGUUGAAAUAUUUCAAGAAUUUAUCAACCUCAUACUCUGAAACCCUUGGUGCAAUGUACUCUGCUUUCCGAGGUAGACUGUUCACGUAAAAUGAGGUCAUGCGUAAGACGGAAUCGGAUUGGAUUCACAGGGAAUCAGAUUUGGAUAGCACCUUUUAGCAGGUUUUUAGUCAAAUGCAAAUUCGGAUCCACAUGUGGUUGAAUGCGAGUUCAAAAUUCUACUUGGAUAUCCAUUUAAUUUAGGUGAUAGCAAUUAGCACAAAAUGUUGGAUGAACAAAAUCAUAGUUAGACAUACAAUUACAUGUAUGGUUAAAGUAUAAUACAAUACACCAAGAUUAUUCCUUGAAAAUAUUUCUUAAAAAUAUUAUAAUAAAUGAAUAAAUAUAAUUGUGGCCACCAACAAAUAGUCGGUGGUCGCUAAGUUGGAGCCAUUUCUGGUUACUAAUGCGGCCUUCUCCUCGACCAGCGACGACAGCUGAGCUUGUUCCUUCUGACACUAAAUCAUCAGAGUCUUCCCUCCACUACUAUAGAAUGCACCUUUAGCACCAAUUGGGAAAUCCCCUUCAGUAUUGGAUGCUGCAACCAGUGCUAUAUAUCAAAAUGGAGACUAAAAGCCUCGGUCUUGGGUACCGGUUGCAUAACGCAUUACUAAAGGAGGCAAAAGAGAAAUGUAACAAAAAAAAUAUUUUGAAUUCCAAGAAUGUUUCACUAUUCAAGAUGACUAGCUGAGAGUCAACAGACAAGAUACUAGGAAUGUGGGUGCUUGAAUGCAUUUGUACAGAGGUCAUACUAUUUACAAACUCUUCUAUGUUUCCAUAUGACUACCUACUUCAAUGUCACGCGAGCCAUUCAGCUGGACACAUGGCACACUAGCUUGCAUGUCGAAUCCAUGAUUAAUUAUUUGCACUUGUGAUCUCUUACCAGUAUUUGUCCAGACUAGAAACGUGCAACACAUUUUUAGGAUAUGGACACGCAUAUAUUUGGACUAGUAUACAGGUCACCUUUGGAUGCGUACAAGGAUGACCGGGAGGGACUAAUGGAUACAAGGAAGGGACCAUCAGGAUUAAUAUUGACAUAUGCCACAUGACAAUCUUCAUUGUCAUGCAAUCCCUAUCAACAAUCAUGGAAUCCCUAGUGUACUAAUCCCUGGAGGGUUGUGUGGAAAUUUAUUUUACCUUGCGGUGAAAAUCUCAUGAGCAGUCAUUAGUUAAGCUGACUAGCUGAGAUAUAAUAGACAAGCUAGUAAGAUUGGGAGCAUCAAUGCAUCCAUACAGGGUCACAAUAUCCUUUCCAUUCACUUUUAUAUAUAACCCUACGAAUACAAGUCCAACGAAAUGCGGGCCUUUCGAUCAAGAUAAAUUAAAUGGCCCACUUGUAUUUCUAAUCCAGGAUUAACUAUGCCCUCUGUUCAUCUCUUGCAAGCACGUGCAACACAUUUUCACGAUAUGGACAUGCAUGGAGGUUAUUAUACUGUUUGGACAAACUCUGAUGUGCCAUGACCUAAAUGCUUAGGGCCUGUUUGGUUUGAGUUGCUUAUUAUAAGCAACUUAAAGUUGCUUAAAGUUGCUUAUUUGAAGUUGCUUAUUUUUAGUCUAAACUGUUUGGAUACCCUUGCUUAUGAGCAUUGAAUGAGUUGGACAUUGUCAAAUUUGCCCCAUGUGUUGCUACCCCUCCAAUUUGCCUCCCCACCCUUCUUCUUCCUGCACACGUCCGAUCCCGGGGGCCGACGGCGGGCAGGGAGCAGCAGCAGCUGGCCAGGGCGGCGGUGGGGCGGGAGCGGCGGCGCACACCAGCACGCGCUCGCACGCCAGGUGCUAGGGCGCGGCGAGGCAGUCGUCGUAGCCCACCGGGAGCGGGUGCUCGGGCGCGAGGCGGUACUCGACGGAGAUGCCGAGCGUCGGGCGCGCGGCGGCGAGCGCGUUGAGGAAGCGAUGGUAGUGCGGCGACGUCGCGGACUCCGCCACGAAGCCGCCGCCGUGGACGUACACCACCACGGGCAGCUUCGUCUUGCCGUCGGCGGCCGCGGCCGCGGCCUGGGGUGGCAGGUAGAGGCGGACGGAGCAGGAGCCGAGGUCGACGUCCCUGGAGUCGACGCCCGUGGCGGCGUCCAGGCUGGGCCCGACCGGCGGCGGCACGAGCGGGCGCUCGAUGCGGCCGCUCUUGUAAAUCCGACGGGUCUGUGCGGAGGCGGGCGGCGGGCGGGAGCGGCGGGUGGGAGCGGCGGCAGGUGGUGCGGAGGCCGGCGGCGGCGGGUGGCGCGGAGGAAGGGGAGCUGGUGAGUGGUGACAGGGGAGGGGGGGAGAGAGAGGGGGGGUAGGGUGCAUUGAAUGAGGGCAGGAGGUGUAAAGUGCACCUUUUAGUCCCCAUGAGCAACCAUAAGCAGCCCAAGAGUUGCUUAUUUGCUUAUAAUAAGCAACCUCAUAAGCAAGAGUGAUUGGUUUCAUAAGCAACUUAUUUGCUUAUUUUAAGUUGCUUAUGCAUAAGCAUGUGAAACCAAGCAGGUCCUUAACCUAUGGUUGUGGCACCACACAGUACAUAGUAUUUAAUAAUGCUAUUCGUUUGGUAUGUGCACAAGGGCACGCAUGAAAUGUCUGGCCCACGGUAAACAAGUACGGACGCUGCAAAUAAUCUACUCUGCUCGUCCAGUCCCUAGCCUAUAAAUAGAUGCCAUGCUAGCUCUUGUUGUGCUCACAAUUAAUCCUGACUACACACGAGCUUCUCUCCCUGGCCAAGACACAAUCAUAGUAUGAUGAAGAACAUGGCACUAGCCGGCAAUGGUAUGAAGAACUUAAUCCUCGCUGUUCUCUUACUGUGUCUAGUUAUAGGGCAGAUACAAGUGGAAGCUAAGAGCUGCUGCCCAUCCAUUACUGCAAGAAAUAUCUACAAUGCCUGCCGUAUCACGGGUACAUCCCGUCCAACGUGUGCAAAACUGUCAGGCUGCAAAAUUAUCAGCGGGGACAAAUGCAAGCCCCCUAACGACCACCUCACCCUUGACCCGGACACUGGUAAAUAAUAAAUUUAUCUCACUUGAUUUCUUCGUGUUUUGAGUCGUUAAUGUAUUUUCCAUCUGAUGAAACGUAUUGGUUUUGCAUUGAAGAGGAAGUUAAUGUGCUUAACUUCUGCAAGUUGGGGUGUGCGUCGUCUGUGUGCAACAACAUCAACGCUGGUAAGCACCUUUUGCUCAGACGGAGAAAACAAUAAUCAUUAAUUAGCGGCAGCUAGAAUCCUAUAAUCUAAUAUAUUUAUAUAUAUAUAUAAUUUUAUCAGCUCUGGGAAAUGAAGAGGCGAACGAUGCCGUUGAGAGUUGCGACCAAGCCUGCUCUAGCUUCUGCAACGUGCACGUUGGCGCUGCCACCGUGGUUGCUUAAGCAAAUGCAUCCAACUGGAUCGUCCUUGUGCUAAAUAAUUGGAUAUCGUAUCCACUUAAAGCUGCCUUGUGUAGUACGUUUUUGUUUGUGUCUCUCUUUAUAUUCCAAUAAGGUCGGUGAUCUUGAUGCCACACACUCAGACGUGUGUUCAUCUCCAGAUACUACUCCAUGCUACCUGCCCUUUGUGUUUUGUUCAAUAACUGGGUAUCAUAUCCCAGCCAGUGUGCCAUCUGUUUUGUGUUUAUUUCCUUCUAGUUUCAAAGGGGUUAUCAUGAUGUUACCUUCUUUCGAUAUGGUGCUUUGCAUGACUACUGUUGUAUGGUACCAUCUUGUUGGCCAAUAAAUACAUCUUAUCCUAUGACC
rnacentral:lncRNA from 1 species